rnacentral:lncRNA from 1 species
AUAUCUUCAAUUGGACUGCAUGAUCUAAGGUCUAGGCUGAGCAUUAUCCCUCAGGACCCAACCAUGUUUGAAGGGACUGUAAGAAGCAAUCUGGACCCACUUGAAGAGUACACAGAUGAGCAAAUUUGGGAGGUUGGUUGGUUUUACACUGAUGAAAGGAAGCUUCUUCCUACUAAAUGUUCUUCAUUAAUAGAUUUGCAGUGGUAAAUUCGUGGGACUAGUUAAAACAUCUUUUGAUUUUUUCAGGCCCUGGAUAAGUGUCAACUUGGAGAUGAAGUUAGGAGAAAGGACGGAAAGCUGGAUGCCACAGGUUUGUUCUAUGGCUACUCUAAGAUACAGGCUAUAUAUGAUGCACUAGAUUCCAUUUUACGUCAUGGAAAUUCUUUUGUUUAUGUUUCAUAUGGUUGCUGCAGUUAGUGAGAAUGGAGAGAACUGGAGUAUGGGUCAGAGGCAGUUGGUCUGCCUUGGCCGUGUGCUGCUCAAGAAAAGUAAGGUCUUGGUGCUUGACGAAGCUACCGCGUCGGUCGAUACAGCUACAGAUAAUCUCAUCCAGCAGACCCUUCGCCAACACUUUACUGACUGUACAGUCAUCACUAUUGCACAUCGUAUAACUUCUGUUCUUGAUAGUGACAUGGUUCUGCUUCUGAGUCAUGGUUAGUAUUGCCAUAUGAAUGCAUUCAACUUCCUCUAGCUACCACUGAACCUCACCUUUUUAUUCAUUUUUAAUUGUAUCUUUGUUCUUGUUGUAGGUCUUAUUGACGAAUAUGAUUCUCCUGCAACCUUGCUCGAGAACAAGUCGUCAUCUUUUGCUCAGCUUGUGGCAGAGUACACAAUGAGGUCGAAUUCCAGUUUUGAGUAGUUCGACUGACAAUUGAAAUUCCAAAUCUUCAUUAUGAACUACUCAACUUGGUAGCUGUUUUCAUAAUGACGAAACAUAAGCGGUGAGGUCCAAAGCAAUAGAACUGGGUGAUCAAGUUAAAGUUUGCAGUGUAUUUUAGGCUAUAUUCUGCUGCAAAUAUUGUAUGGUUAAGUACUUUCAAGUAAUUUUGAUACUGAGAGCUCAAUAUAGGUGUGAAAUUUUGUGGUCGAAUAAAGUAAUUGUAAGUUGAUUGAACUCCUAUGCAAAACAUCCUCUCAUUGAAUAGAUAAAUGGCUCUGUAAUUGGAAAAUUUUGUAAGUAAAUUCAUCGGUCCCUCUACUUGUCCAAGACAAUGCGUCGUAGACUAUAUUAGAAGUAGAUAUUCCAGAACCGUAUCCCAAAAGACUUUGGUUAGACAAACCCACUAGUUAGCUACACUAAAGAAGGGGAUGACACUGUAGGAAACCCACCAAAGAUUUUAGUUUGAAUAAUUUUCCUACUGAAUGAUGAUUCUCCCUUUGAAAAUCACAAUUCCUCCACUAGAUGAGGAGAAGUUCACAAUUCUUUGGGUUAACGGGUGGACCAUGUCAUGAAUCCAUCCACACAAAAAUAAGGAGAUUCCUUAAUUUCACCCAAAUUCUCGGAAUUCCUUUAUUUUGAUGUGCAAAUGAGUGACGUGGUCCACUCGAUGAAACAAAAAAUUUCUCACAAAAGAUACCUCGACUAGAGGUUCGAUAUUAGUUUAUCACCUAUUGAAAAGGUAACAACUUGCACCCGAAAUCGCACUUUGCUACAAUAGGAACUAUAACCAUCAAAUAACACAUAUAUACAACUAAUGAAAUUACCUACAUCAUAGGAAAAGAUACACAUAUUGCUAUUGCACACAAAAAAUACCUCGACUAGAGGUUUGAUAUUAGUUUAUCACCUAUUGAGAAGGUAACAACUUGCACCCGAAAUCGCACCUUUCUUAUAAGUAUGCAAAAAUAAUUAACCACCUCCAAAAGCACCUUCGGUGAAGGUAAGUUAUAUUUGGUAAGUUAUAUAUAUCUGUAUUAUAGGGUACUAAAACAGUUUAUUAUCUACCCUAAAGGCAAAAAUUUGCACCCUAUAUUCACCUUCCCUCUAGUAUACAACAUAUAUACUUGGCAAAGUGUAUACCUGCCCUAUAGGUUAAUAUAUAAUGGUUGAUUGCCUACUCAAAAGUCCUUCCCUGUCUUUUUCUUGUUCAUUUUCUCACCAUUAAUAAUUCGCCAUAUUGCAUGCAAUUAUAUGCAAAGAGCAACAACAUCUAUUUAUACUUGCAAGAAAACGAUCAAGGGCAUGAUAGUAACAUAGCUCUCACAACAUCAACCCAUCUUGCUCAUCCUGACCAAGCAACCAAAAACAUAAUAUCAAUUAAAAGACAGAUAAGAAAGAACUAGGAAGAAACAGAAAUGGAUUCAUCACAUAUAUGGUGCUUCGAAGUCGAUUCAAUAAUUCUCAUACAUGAGAAAGCUCGUUCCGUUGUUGCUGUACAUAAAAAUCAAGGAAAACAAGGCCGAAAAUUAUUGAUUUCUAUCAAUUAGGAAAUAAGAAAAACAAAAUGCCUAGUUCUUUGCAACUGAAUACUCAAGCCAAGAGAAUUGGCCAAACCACUUUUUAUUAAAUCAAUGUAAGAUUUUCCCUUCUAAGUGGCUUGGAUAAUGUUCUAACUCAGGUUGACAUGGCCCUAAAAGAAUAUAUGUUAUUCGCACAUUAUAUUGUUCCUUUACCUAAUAUUUGCAUAUUAGAUGACGUACUCCUGGAUCACCGUUCAAGAUAGUUGAUAUUUGUAUUAGAUGAUGAUCCAUCAUUCUUUUUCUUAAAAAAAAGACAACAAGAUCUUAAUUUUCUUUGGUUUCCGAUUGUGAUUCGACAUAAUAAAAGAUAACCUAUAAAAUAAAUAAUAGGUAAAAAUGAUUUUAAUCAAACAUUUCAACAAAAAUACCAACACACAAAUCAAACAUCUCAACAAUACCAACAACAAAUUAAUGCAUUUAAUCAAACAUACCAACACACAAAUCAAACAUCUCAACAAUACCAACAACAAAUUAAACAUCUCAAGAAAAUUCCUAAAAUCAAAGCCCUAAUUAAUUUCAACAAAAUCUCAAAAUUAUAAGUCAUUCCUAAUUAAACCCUAGAACAUUUUCUAUUCAAAUUAAAGAUGCAUAAAAUAAUUAAAAAGGAGAGAAUGAGAAGAAUACUUGUUGUUGCAAAGAAGAGAAGUUGUUGGCUACAAAGAAGUUGAGCGGAGUUGUUGGCAGUGGCUGCAGAGAAGUUGCUUAUAUCUGUUUUGCAGAGGAGGAGAAGAAUUGCACAGGAGGAUGGGAUGGUAUGUUGGAUAGGUUUGUAUAGGUUUAAUUUAAGUGGGCUAGACAUAUGUAGUGUAGGUUAUAUUUUUUUUAACAAAAAUUUGUGGUGGGUUGUGAAGGAGCAGAGGGAGAGCUAUUUGCUCCACCGUUAGAGAUAGAGUGAGAAAAUUGGAGUUCAGUAAUUGGGUGUGAGGCUUUGGUACUACAAACAACUUCUCUUCGCAUGAUUGGACAAAACCCCGCAUAUGAGAGACUCAAAGAGAGAAGCCUUCUGUGCAUGGAAGUUCAUAUUUUCCAGCGAAAAAAAAAAAUUUCCAUGUGAAAAAUCUCAUAGGUUAGGGUGAGAUUUGAGAUAGAGUUUGGUAUUUAUACCUCCCACUAAAAAGUCCCACACAAUUCCACAUUUUAAAAAAUCUUUCGAAAUUAGCAAGUUUUUCAAUACCAUAAGACUUUUUGUUACUUGUUUAAAGUCUUGAUUGAAUACCAUGUGAUUUCGACAUCCUCUUUUAAAAAUCCUAAUAGUCUUAAUGGAAUACCACAAGACUUGUUUAGAUUAUUUAAAAGUCUUAAUUGAAUACCAAAUGACUUUUUUCUCCCAAAAUACUCUUUUAAAAUCUCAAUUGAAUACACUCCCUAAUGGACAAACUAAAAAAGAAACAAGCAAUCAGUUAUAUCAAUGCCAAAUGAUAUAAAUAGCUUCUCUCGUCCGUUGUAUUUGCCUUUUCUAUUCAAUGCCAAACGUUGUAAAUGGCUAAAUCAUUAAUACCCGAUUUAUGUCAUAAGGGCAUCAUUGGAACAAAAAUAAUUUUAAAAAUAAAAAAAUGAAAAGAUUACAUCCGAAUAUAUUUAAAAAUGAAUAUAAUCUUAUGUAGUGCAAAAGUCAAAGGACUUAAAUUAAAGUCAUCAAAUCUGAAGAUUAAACCUAACUCCUCAAUAAAAAUUUGCAUCUAUAUCAACUUUUUCUAUUCUAAUUUUCAUAUUAUAAUUAAAAGGAACUAUUUUUGGCUCUUAAAAAAAUCAUAAUGUAUUUUUCCCUUAUAUAAUUACAAAUGAUGAGUGCAAGAUGACAUUUUUGAUUGUUACUAAUGUUGAAGAAUAUGAGUCCCACAUCGAAAACUUGACUAAAUAAAAUACAAAAUAUAAUAAAUAGUUCUACUACUAAUAACACUGAGGCCUUUGUGAUAAAACCCCACACCUACUGGGCUUUGUAGGUGGUUAAGUUGGGGACACUAUCGGUGUUGCUAGUAGUGGGCCGCUGGCCUGUCUCUUUGAAAUUUAACAUGGUGUCAGAGUGGGUGGAUUGAUUGGGCCUGAAUUACUGGCCUUUACCCUUACUCUUUACCCAACAUGUGGUGUUCACAUGUUGGACUUGAAUGUUUACCCUUAUCCAAUACGUGGUGCUCACGUGUUGUGUGAUGGUCCCAUGUGAGGGGGAGUAUUGAAGAAUAUGAGUCACACAUCGGAAACUUGACUAAAUAAAAUACAAAAUAUAAUAAAUAGUUCUACUACUAAUAACACCGAGACCUUUUGUGAUAAAACCUCACACUUACUGAACUCUGUAGGUAGUUAAAUUAGGGACAAUAUCGGUGUUUCUAGUAGUGAGCCGCUGACCCAUCUAUCUGAAAUUUAAAAACUAAUAGCUCCCGUUGACAAAAACUUAUUUAUCAAUUUUCUUAUUUGAUCAAUAUCUCAUUCAGCUUACCUUAACAUUUUUGUUAAUUUUGAUCACAUGCCAUCUACCCCUUUAAUUACAGUCCCGAGUGCCGACCAUGGCUAUCCAUUCCUGCCAUGCCCAAACCUUUAUUCCCCAAGUUACUUUGGCAUCGCAUAUAAAAUGAUUGUUUUGUGAUUACAUUUCUGCCAUGCCCAAACAAUUUUACAUAAUAAUUUUCCUAAAAAGGAAAUAUAUAGAAUAAUAUUAAUUUUGUUUAAACAUGUGUUGGGAUACUGGAUUGGCGGUCUAUCCCUCUCUACUGUAGGUAUAAUGGAUUGGAAUUUGGAAUUUGGAAUCUCGGAGUGUACCACUUCACAUACUAGUCAAAACAUAUGUUGGGAUAUAAAAGAUGACAGUGAACUCUUUGAAUUUCGAAGUUCGGGGGGAGGGUGUUAUGUUGACUUGUUGCCUACGAAUAAAACACAGGCUUUUAGUUUUCUUAUUUUCUUAUUUUACUCUAGUAAGUCCAACAUAUGAUUUAACACAAGAAGAUUCAAAAUUGUCAAUUAUCUUGCUGUGCACACAAAACCACAUUCAUUGUUGAACCUGAUUCUCCUAAUUAAUUAAGGAGAUUUACUUCCUUGAUUAAUUAAGGGAUUUACUUUCUUCACUACUACAAAAAGUGAAAAAGACGACCAGAAAACAACGACGGUCUAAGUGAAAACCGUCGUGGUUUUUAAAAAGACGACGGUUCUAAAAACACCGUCGUGUAAUACAACCUUAGACAACUAAAACAUGGAGAUUCAAAUGGCUGUUCAAAAACAACGACGUACAUAAUUAAACAACCGACGUCUAUUUGAAACAGAUUUCCGCAGUGUAAAAUCAAUGCCAACAAAGAACGGCAGAAGUUAUGAAUCGACCGACGUAGAAAGUAAAGACGACGAUUUCAAUAAAAAUCGCCGUUUUUACUCAUAAAAUAACACGACGAGGUUUUCGUAUAAGACGCCGUAUAAUUACAAACAAAUCCACGGCUUUAAAAUACAAAAUAUCGCCGUAUUAAAUUAAUGUACAACGACGGAAAAUAUAAACAUAUCGACGUCAUUUGCGUAUAGUUCUACGACGUUAUCUUUAAAUCGUACAAUAAAAUUUAACGUCGUAUUUAUUCAUUUUAUACGUCGUACCUUUAAUUUUAACCGUCGUCUUAAUAAGAAUUUUUGUUAACAAUUUUUUUCUUUGAUUUUCUUAUCCUACGUCAGUAGAUCUACUUAAUGACAAGAAUUGAAAUAACCACGACGGUUUAUAUAGAAAACCGCCGACAUAAUCAGAUUUGUCUGAGAUCCCAAGGGUUACGAAAUCUUACCAGAUGGAACUCUGUUCCACAUCAUAAUCUUAACAGAUGACACAGAUUUGCAAUCAGAGAGACAAUUUUUUGGAAGUUGAUGAUGUGUGUGCGUUUGUGUAUCUACAAAUAUUAUACCUAACGUCGUUGCAAAUUUGCAAUCAGAGAGACAAUUUUCAACGACGGUUAUAUUAUACCUAACGACGUUUAAAAAACAAAUCAACGUCGCUAAACAAAUAUAUUACGUCGUCUUAGUCUUACUUAAGACGACGAAAAACGACGACAGUAAUAAAAAAACAGUAGUUGUUUUUAUAUUCUUAUUUUAUUUAAAUCUGUCCUCCAAAAAAGAAACUUUACAUAUUCCAGAACAUUAAUUUCCUACAUUUUAAAUUUCCUCCGGAAAAAAAAAACUCUAUUUAUAACGCACUGUAAUUGAAAAAUAAACUGAAAGGUCACGGGAAAAAAAAUUCUACCAUGACGCGACAAAUUUAUAGAAUAAAUUUUUAAAACCAACGGCGGUCCUUACAAAAACACCACCGUUUAAAUUGUAAAAUCAACGUCGGUAUGAUCGACGUAUAUUAUAGAAAUCCACGUCGGUACAUUAAUAAAAACGACGUGUUAAAUAAUCUACCAUGACGCGAGUUAUUACUUAUGUACUUUAAUUUUUGAGUUUACUACGACGGUACCUACAACACUACUGUCGUAUUUAUUUACCACGUCCGAAGUUAAAUGUACCGUCGUAUUUUGUAAUUUAUACGUCGUAGUUAUAUGUAACCGCCGUAUUAUUUUUUUGAAAUGGUUUUAUAUGUAAUCAACUUUUCGUCUACCUGACAUACACAUGCGCUGUUUCCAAACCCGAUUAAAAAGUUCAAUCUCCCAGAGAAAACUUUUAGACUUUUUUCCUUGUCAGAGCACUGUCAGAGUAUCUCAUCGUCUUCCUCUCGUCUUCUUCGUCGUCUCUGAACUUAAACAUAAUCUUCCUCUUGCUUUCAUUGCACGCAAAAGGUAAGCUUUCAUUUUCACUAUUUUGGUUGCUGUUUUGCAUGCUCAUACGUUUUUUGUUUGAAAAUUUUUUUUACCUUUUUUCUGGCCAAAAUCAUUUUACUUCUUUCCAAGUUCGAUAAAAUAUACAGACAAAGAGGGAAAGUUUCCAACUUUGAAGACAACUACCUCAACUAAAUAAGACGACGGUAGCUUCUUAUGUACGUGGUUAAAUAUGUAGACCACGACGGUUCGUCAGUCGUUCUAGCGUCGUCUGAAAAUUGACAAAGUUGUUUUUAAAAUUAUAGUCUUUUUUUUAUUUGCUUGUUUAAUUGCAGGUUUGAUUUCUCUGAACAAUGGUUUUUGUUUUUCCCUAAUUUGAUAAAAUAUAAAGAAAAAGAAAGUAGGGUUGGUAUCUAAUAUAGACGACAGUAUCUUAUUGUUUUACGUCGUGUGAAUGUUAAUACCACGACGUCAUAUUGAAAUACCGUCGUCUAUAUAAGAUUCCAAACCUUUCUUUCUUGGCCUUGUAUUUUAUCAAAUUAGAAAACAAAAACCAUGGUUCAGAAAAAUCAAAUCUGCAAUCAAACAUUCACAGAGAAAGAAAGAAGGGUUUUGGAUCCUUAUAUAGACGAAGGUAUAUUACGACUGACGUCGUGUGAACAUCAAUACCACGACGUUAUAUUAAUAUUUCGUCGUUUAUAGUUAAUUAUCACGUCGUUUAUAGUUAAUUAUUUCGUCGUUGUUUAAUUACCUUGGUUUUAAACAUUUAUUACGUCUGAGAUUAUUUCAUUGCGUCGUUUAAAAUCAUAUCAUACGUUGUAUUUUAUUAAUAACUGUCGUUUGUGUUCUUAAUCUUUUCCUGAAAUAUUUUCACUUGCAGUUUUGUCUGUAAAAAUGGUUUCUCACCAAGACCAAAGUAAGGAUUCUGGCUCCAAGAAAAAUGGAGGUAAGGACCUUGGAAUGGUACCUCCUCAAGUGAAGCCUUCGAAGAAGAUGAAGUUUGCUUCAUCAUCUGCUGAGACAGAACGAACCAGCACGACAACAAUCUCUGAUGAUUCAAAGUCUGGUCGAGGUAUGAGCACAAUGCCUCGUGUUGUGAAGAGAAAACUUCAGAAACUGAGGCCAAUUGUUGAGUACAAUAAAAUGGGGAAAGGAAUUGGCCAAGCACAUAGUGAGAUGCAGUCCUACAUUGGUGUGUUGGCAUGCUCCAGAGUUCCACUUGUGGACAUGAAAUGGGCUCAAAUUCCCAAGGAUAUAAAGGAGCAGAUUUGGGAAGCAGUUGACAUUGCUUUUGUCGUAGGUCAAGGGGGCAAGAGCUCUGUGUUAGCUUCUGCUGCCAAGAAAUGGAAGGAUUUCAAGUCUACACUAACGAGGCAAUAUAUCCUUCCAUACACCAAUGACAGAGAGAGAUUAAGCCAACCCCCUGAAACAUAUAAAUUCAUAGAGAAAGCACAAUGGGAUGCCUUUGUAGCUUCAAGGUUAUCCAAAGAUUUUGAGUCUGUGCAUUCUCAACAUGCACAGAUUAGGGAGAAACUUGAGUACAAUCAUCGAUUGUCUCGAAAAGGAUAUGCUGGUUUGGAGGAUCAAUUGGAGGAAACCAUGCUUGGGGUAGAAAUUGAUCGAUCUACCUUAUGGAAGAGAGCUAGACAGGACAAACAUGGUAACAUCUCGGAUCCAAAGGUGGCAGAGAAAGCAAAAUUAAUUGUAAGCCUACUCACUCUAUUUUAAAUUUUUAUUAAACUGUGAAUAAUUCUUAUUACGUCUUAUGUUAUAUUUUGCGUCGUGUGAAUGAUAUUACCACGUCGUUAAAGGUCUAAAUCAGGAAUCACUACUCUGUUUUCUGUAAUUAUAGCAUAAGAUGUCGGUGGUUCAUUUUCGCGUCGUUUGUAUUGAAUUAUUACGUCGAAAUGUUUUAAACAAGGUCGUUAAAGGUGUGAAUAUUGAAUCAUCCCUCUGUUAUCUGUAAAUAAAGCAUAAGACGUCGGUGGUUUAUUCAUUUCGUCGUUUUAAAAACUAACCACGUCGGUUUAAAAACUACCAUCGUGAUAAAUUAUAAUAACGUCGAUUUAUAUGUUAUUGCGUCGUGUGAAAUUAUAUAAUACGUUGUUUGUAUAUAAAUAACCGUCGUGUGUUUUUGUUCUUACUUUUUUAUAUAUCUUUGUUUUAGGAUGAAUUGCAAAAACAAGUCUCGGAAGGCAAAGUCACUGUUUCUGGCAGCAAUGAUGUGCUGACCAUGGCUUUGGGCCCCGAGCAUCCAGGCAGAGUGAGAGGAGUAGGUGCUAGGAUCUCACCAAGGCAAUAUUUCAAUUUACCCAAACCACAGAGAGUGAGCUUUGAUGACCGUUUGAAGGACAGUUUAAGAGUUCUCCUUCAAGAAGAGACUAAAAAGAUGGAAGCUAAGGCAAGGGAAGAGGCUUUAAGGAUGGAGGCUAGAACGAAACAAUUGGUAGAGGCUGAGAGGGAGCAUUUCCUGAGUCAGCUUUCCCAAUUAAUUCCCAAUUUUGAUCCAAGCAUGCUUAAACCCAUAAUUAGCCAAAGUCCCAAAAAUCCAAUGUCUGACAAAGCAAGCUGCUCUGGAGGUGAUGUGAGAUCCCAGCAUUUUGAGGAUGAUACUGCCAAAAAUAGGAAACAUCAGGAAGAAAAGGUAACAUAUCUGAACUUUGAAUUCUCUGUUUUUUUAAAAACCAUUAGACAUCGUUAUUAUUAAUAAAACCGUCGUUUGAAAUACAUACCACGACGAUUUUAAACAUAAACCGUCAUUUGUAUUUCAAUACCACGUCGUAUUUAGUUUACUUGUUUUACACGCCAUUAAACGUCGUUAUUUUAAAACUUUGUGGUUUUUAGACGACGGAGUUAGUCAUUCCCGACGUAAUAGAUGAAGGGAAGACAGAAGAAAAACAUGAUGAAAAGGAGAAAGAAGAUGACGACCAGGUAUGUUCACAUAACUUUGCCUUUUUUAUUUGUUUUUCAAAAUUCCAGACGUCGAUAUUUUUCUUUAAACCGUCGUUUGUUUACAACUUAGACGGCGGAAUUUUUUUUAAGACGUAAUAAAUUAUUCACCACGACGGUUUCUUCAGACGACGUUUAAAUUCUUUUCAGACGACGUUUUAUUCCUUAAACCGUCGUUUUUAUUGAAUUACCACGUCAUUUUUUUUAUUUCUUUAAACAGGUUAUUAAAGUUGUUGAUUAUUCAAAUAUGGAGGCGCCAUCUUCUUUAAACUCCCUUUGUUGUUAUGUGGAAACGACACUCGUGCCUCAGGAUAAGACCCUGCACUUUACAAUUGAUAAGGAGGCGUUUGGUCUAGAGCGCGAUACCUUCCUCCUGCCUGAAGAUAUUACACAAUUUGCUGUAUAUAUGAGGUUUGUCAUUCUAAAAUAAUACGUCGUUGGUGUAUUUAUUGCGUCGUCUUAACCAACUAACCACGUCGUUAGUAUAUCAUAACGUCGUUGUCUAUUUCAGUACGUCGUGUGAAAUUUUAUAAUACGUCGUUUUGUUAUACAUAACCGUCGUGUUUUUUUGUAUAUAUGAGGUUUGUCAUUCUAAAAUAAUACGUCAUUGGUUUAUUUAUUGCGUCGUCUUAACUAACUAACCACGUCGUUAGUAUUUACCGUCGUGAUAAAUAUAUUAUAACGUCGUUGUCUAUUUCAGUACGUCGUGUGAAAUUUUAUAAUACGUCGUUUUGUUAUACAUAACCGUCGUGUGUUUUUUUGUGCUGACUUGUUUAUAUUAUUUUAUAUAUUUAGGCACUUGCACGAUGUUUUGAAACGAGCAAAUAUGUGCAAUAUGGUUGGCUUUAUCGACCCUGCUACAGUUAGUGCCAGCUCUGGCACAAUAGCUGACAGAUCACGCCUACUAGCAUCUCGACUUCAGAAGACUGACGGUGAACAGAUUUUCCUGAUGCCUUACAAUCCAGGGUUAGUCUCCUUAACAGGAUUUUGUUUUUAUGAUUUUCAAUAAAUUACAGCGUAUAAACUAACCACGUCGAUGUUUUAUUGUAUUGAGUCGUUUGAAACUACUAAUCACGUCGGUAGUUAUUUAUCGUCGUGAUAAAUGUAAAAUGUCGUCGAUUGCUACUUUAUUUCGUCGUGUGAAAUAUUAUAAUACGUCGUUAUUGUAAAUAACCGUCGUUUUUAUAUUAAUUUUGUGCAGCCGUCAUUGGAUCUUGCUGAUUGUAAGAGCAAAGAGAGAAACCGUCUAUUUUCUGGAUCCUCUGCCAAGAAAUCGUGUGGUCGAUGAAGAGGCCAAAAACAUUGUGAACAGUGCUAUAAAAAUUUAUAAUUCUCACAUAGCCAGACCAGGCCGUAAGGCAGUCAUUUGGAAAACUCUGUCAGGCACACCAAAGCAACCCAGCAAUGUCGAAUGCGGGUAUUAUGUGAUGCGCUUCAUGAGGGACAUCAUCAUGGAUCCUUCCUUGGGGUUUGAGAAGAAGGUACGAAGAAAUUACCUUCAUACAUUUUACGUCGUUUUUUGUAUUAUCAACGACGGUCAUGUAAAAUUACCGUCGUUGAAAAGAUAUAGUACGUCGGUUAUGAAAAAUAUCGUCGUCUGUGAUUGAAUUUCUUUUUAUUUAUAAACCCUAAUAGUCAUUGUUUAUGCAGUAUGCCAAGGGAAAACAGGAAGCGCCAUACCCCCAAGAAGCAAUUGAUGAAGUCCGGAAUGAAUGGUCAGAGUUUGUUUGCCUUCACCUGGAAUAGGGGAAUUAUUGAACACUUGAUAUUUAUGUAUAAUGUACAAAUUUUGUCUAUAAUAUAUAAUGUAAAAAUUUGUUGAGGUUUUCUUAAAUUAAAAAAAAAAAAAACAUACAAAUUGCGUAACCGACGUGUAAUACUUUUCCAACGACGUAAUAAGGUCAAAAGCCGUCGUUUUUUGUUGUUUCGUUUUAACCAAAUCCGACGUAAAAGGAUAUUUAGACGACGUUCUUUGAACAAUUGAGUCGUUUAUGGUUUACAACGUCUUCAAUUUCUUAAGGGUUCAGGGUAGUACUUUGUAACGACAGCGGUUAAGUCGUGGAAUAUAUAUUUUACGUCGGAUAGUUAAAUAUCCGCCAUGGUUUCUCAUUUAAACGACGUCAUUUUAACAACUUAAUCGUCUAUUACAAUUUACAACGUCUAAAAUUUAUUAACACCGACGUGGUUUGUUGUUGUGAUAAGAAUAUUUUAUUAUUUUUAUAUCAAAAUAUUCAAAAUAAAUUUAAAAUAAAUCAGAAAAAUGCAAAGUCAACUCCUAUGAAGUCAUUGAUAUAUUUUCUUCCCCCUAAACCUUGAAAAAAUUCAUUUUGAAUAACAAAAAUUUAAAAUGACCAUCCAAAACAAAAUUGUUUUGAUGAGUCAUAAAAUCACUUCUAGUUUUAUGGUUUAGGGUUUAGAGUCUAAGGUUUAGAGAUUAGGGUUGUUAUUUAUUGGGGUUUAUUUUUAAAGUAUAAUUUUUGGGUAGUAUAGGGUAUAUAUUAGGCUGUAAAACCAUAAACCCUUUUAUAAACUUAAUUUUUAAAAUUAUAUAAUUUAGUUUUAAGGGUUUAGGGUAUUAAUUGUUAACGACGGUGGUUGAGUCGUGGAAUACAUAUGUUACGUCGUGCAGUAAAAUAUCCGACAUGGUUUUCACUUUAAACGACGUCAUUUUAAUAUGUAAGUCGUCUAUUAUAAUUUACAACGUUUUCAAUUUCUUAACUGCGACGUGGUUUUUCAGUCGUCUUUAUAUCAAAAUAUUCAAAAUAAAUUUAAAAUUAAUCCAAAAAAUGAACGUCAAAAUAAACGGCGUUACGUUCAGUGUUUUCGUGGUGGAAUAUUACAUUUACGUCGGUUCUUGUAGAACUUUCGCCAUGGUUUUUCUUUCGACGUUUUAAAGAGCGCGCGCUCUAAAAAUUUUCGCGCGCCCUAAAUUUUUUUAUAUUUGGCUCUUAUUCUUAUACUUCUAACCCUGAACCCUAAAAUUUUUAGAUUUCGCGCAACAUAACAUUCGCUCUCUCACUUCUGCUCUAAUUAAAAGUUGCACUCUCCAGGCUCCGUCGAAUCUGUGAGCUCGUCCAACCUGUAAGUACAAACCCUAUCUUCCCCUCGUAAAUUCAUUGAAUGAUAUUAGGUUGUUUUGUUAAAGGGUUUUAGGUAUAUGCUUUGCGAUCUGUUAAUAAUGUGCUUAUAGGUAUGGGUUCAUGGAUUUUCUGUUUAAUGGGUUCAUGGAUUUUCUGUUUAAUGGGUUCAUGGAUUACAUUAUCUGUUAUGUUGAAUUGGGAAUGGUUUUAAUUUUGUCGGAUCUUUUAAUCACCCUAUGUUAUGUUGAAUUGGGAAUGGAUUUAUUGUUUUCAUGCUUGGUUUCAUGUAUAUGUUGGUUUCUUGCUUGGUUUCAUAUAUAUGUUGUGUUCUUAAUGGGUUUUGGGUUUUUGAAAAUAAACUGAGACACGACGCCUUUUUAGGCAUACGACGACGAUUACACGACGAUUUAUGAAAAAACCGUCGUUGUAUUAUUAUACACGACGGUUUUUUCAUAAACCGUCGUUUGUAUUACUUAUAUUAGACGACGUCUGUUGAAAAUCCGUCGUCUAUAUAUGCCAAAUACGUCUGUUUUUGUUUAAAACCCGUCGUCUCUGUUGUGUAUUACUUGCUAUUAGAUCUUUGUAUAAUCUGCUAUAGUGAUGGUCAUUGCCUGUAUUUUCACUUUAUUAUAGAUAAUAGGUUAUAGUGUCGGAGAUGAAUAAGUCAUGGAUGCACUCGGAUAGAAGAUCGAAGGCAUAUGAGUUUGGGGUGGAAGCAUUUUUGAAGUUUGCUGUAGAAAAUCUUCUAACUACAACACAUAUCCGUUGUCCAUGUGUUAAAUGUGUUAAUUUGAAGUUGUUUGGGGUUGGAAUUAUAAGGGAUCACUUAUACUUUAAUGGAAUUGACCAAAGCUAUAAGAAUUGGACAUUUCACGGAGAACCUUGGGAAGCAACUACUAAUGCUAGUAGAAAUGUUGAAGAAGAUGAUGGCCAUAGUAGGUACAGUUUUGUGUCUGAAGAAAUUGAUAUGGAUGAUAAUGAUUUUGGUGAUUUUGGUUCCGAUCCGUAUGAGUUUGCCAAUGUGAUUGGGGAUGGAGAUCAACCAGUGUACCCUGGUUGUAGAAAGUACACGAAAUUAUCGGCAUUAGUGAAGUUGUAUAAUUUGAAGGCAAAACAUGGGAUGAGUGAUGUCUGUUUUACAGAAUUAUUGAUACUUCAAGGCGAUUUGCUUCCAGAAGGAAAUACAAUACCAACCUCUAUGUACGAGGCUAAAAAGACUUUGUGUGCAUUGGGGCUGAGUUAUGAGAAAAUGCACGCAUGCCCCAAUGAUUGCAUCUUGUAUAGGAAGGAGUAUGAGGAUUCAACUAAUUGUCCUACUUGUGGUAUCUCAAGGUGGAAGGAAGGCAAAGAUUCAAUCUUGAAAGAGGGUGUGCCAGCGAAGGUGGUGUGGUAUUUUCCUCCAAUUCCAAGGUUUAAAAGGAUGUUUCGAUCACAUGAGACAGCUAAGAGUUUGACUUGGCAUGCUGCUAGAAAAUCAAUUGACGGUCAGAUGUCUCAUCCGGCGGAUUCCCCGUCUUGGAAACUUCUUGAUGAUAAAUGGCCUGAGUUUGGUAAUGAGCCGAGAAACUUGAGAUUGGCUCUUUCAUCUGAUGGAUUCAAUCCCCACAGUUAUCUAAGUGGCAGAUAUAGUUGUUGGCCGGUUAUCUUAGUUACAUAUAAUCUCCCUCCAUGGCUGUGCAUGAAACGAAAGUUCAUGAUGUUAACCUUAUUGAUUUUCGGUCCUAAACAACCCGAAAAUGAUAUAGACGUCUACUUGGAGCCUUUGAUUGAUGAUUUAAAAUCUUUGUGGGAUGGGAUUAGAGGAGUGUAUGAUGCACAUAAUGGAGAAUACUUUACACUCAGAGCUGCAUUAAUGUGGACAAUUAAUGAUUUCCCCGCCUAUGAAAACUUAUCUGGUUGUGUUGUUAAAGGAUAUAAAGCUUGUCCAAUAUGCGGCAAUGAUACACCUAGUCACAGGUUGAAAAAUGGCCACAAAAUUUGUUACAUUGGGCAUAAAAAAUGGUUACCAAUCAAUCAUCCAUAUAAGAGGCAACGUGCAGCUUUUAAUGGGAAACCUGAAUAUGGCAUACCUCCCGAGCCAUUAACCGGAGAAGAAGUGCUGCAUAUGGUUGAAAAUGGUGACAGAGUUUGUUGGAAGAAGAAAUCAAUAUUCUUUGAUCUCGAGUAUUGGAAAUACCUUCCUGUGAGGCAUGCCCUAGAUGUUAUGCACAUUAAGAAGAAUGUUUGCGAUAGUAUUAUUGGUACAUUGCUGGAGAUCCCUGGAAAAAAUAAAGAUGGGAUUGCUGCUCGAUUAGAUUUAUUGAACAUGGGGGUCAAAACUGAUUUGCAACCCGAGUAUGGAGAAAGACGUACUCAUUUGCCUCCUGGGCCUUGCAAUUUGUCAAGAGCAGAGAAGAGAGAGGUUUGCAAUUCUUUCUAUGGUAUGAAGGUCCCUGAAGGUUAUUCUUCAAAUAUUAAAAAUCUUGUAUCUUUACAAGAUUCAAGACUUCUUGGCCUUAAAUCACAUGAUUGUCAUACCUUAAUGCAACAAUUGCUCCUUGUGGCAAUUCGUUCUGUUUUGGAGAAGCCUGCAAGGUAUGCAAUAACUCGUUUGUGCUUCUUCUUCAAUGCUAUAUGUGCAAAGACUGUUGAUGUUUCCAAGCUAGAUAAGUUGGAAGAAGAUGUAGUAGUUACUCUGUGUUUGCUUGAGAAGUACUUUCCCCCUUCAUUCUUUGAUAUUAUGGUUCAUCUAGUAGUACAUCUUGUCAGAGAAGUUCGUCUAUGUGGGCCAGUAUAUUUUAGGUGGAUGUAUCCGUUUGAAAGAUAUAUGAAAGUGCUGAAGGGGUAUGUUCAGAAUCGUACUCGUCCCGAAGGUUGCAUUGCUGAGCGGUAUAUAGCUGAAGAAGCGGUAGAGUUUUGUACUCAGCAUUUAUCUGAUGUUAGUACAGUUGGAAUGCCUUCAAGCCAAAAGAUGGGACUUUCAAAGCCAUUAUCAGGUUGCACAGUGAGCGUAGUUGAUCAAGACCUGUUGAAUCAAGCACAUCUAUAUGUCUUGGAGAAUACGGAGGAAGUCCUACCUUAUAUCGAGUACGUAUGAGUUUUAUUCUUUAACUUAUUGAUUUUAAAUUAUUUCUUAUGUUUAUCUUCUAUAUUUGGGACCGUAAUGCUUGAAUUUUUCGUGUCAUGUAGGCAACAUAUGAUCCACAUCAAGACUGCUUAUCCAAAAUUUAGAAAGAGAACAAAGUGGCUGCAGGAUAAGCACAAUAGCACUUUCAUUCAAUGGCUACGCUUCAAGGUAUAUGUUGUUGAAUAACAUAUUUCUCUUUUAAUUUUCUUCUUAUUUCUAUGUUAGAUUGAAUUAAGAUAUAUGAUUAAUUUGCAGGUUCAAAGUGAACUUGAGGAAGACAAUCAUGGCGUAUCAGAAAAUUUAAGGUGGCUAGCAGCUGGUCCAAACAUGGCAGUGCCAUUAUAUAGGAGCUAUCUUAUUAAAGGUAUUAAAUUCAAUAUCAAGGCACAAGAUGAUGUGCGGACAACUCAAAAUAGUGGAGUUUAUUUACUUGCACAUACCAUGCAAGUUGCUAGUGCCAAGGAUAAAAACCCAAUUCUCUCAAAUAUGGGUUUCUAUGGUGUCAUUCAAGAAAUUUGGGACCUUGACUACCAAAAGUUUACAAUCCCAGUCUUUAGGUGUGAUUGGAUAGAUAGUUCUGGUCUUGUAGUCGACGAACUUGGAUUUACCCUUGUAGAUUUGAGUAAAAUUGGACAUAGGAAUGACCAAUUUGUUUUGGCUUCUCAAGUCAAACAAAUAUUUUUUGUUGACGACCCGAUGCAUCGUGGUUGGUCGGUAGUGUUAUCAAUGCCUAAUAGAGAAUAUAAUGAUGUUAUUGGUGAUGAAGUCUUAGGUGAUGUGAUAAUUGAGUGUGAGCCAUUUACUAGAGGGAUGCCAAAUGUUGACACAUUUGAUGAACUGGUGGGUGAGUUAGGCGGUCAAAAUAUUCAAGAUGGGUGUGAAGAUAUAUGGAUUGAAUGAUGCUUAUGUAAUUGGCAGUGUAUGACAUUAAUUUUGUAAUAUAUUGUAAUGUGAUUUCUUCACUUUCUACGUUCAAAUAAAACACGACGUUAUUGUGAACCAGUUAUUCAGCAUAUUUACCGACGUCUUAAAGCAACGUAACAAUGAAGAACCACGACGCUAUUGUGAAGCAAUUAUUCAGGAUAUCACGUCGGGGAAGGAUUAAGAACCACCAUGUAAUUCAAAAUAACACGACUCCAAUCCCAUAAUACCGACGUCUAAAAAACGAGAUAUAUAAUCUGAACGUUAAAAAAUACGACGUCAUCAUACAUUUUCCACGUCGCAAGUUCUUUUAUAAACGAAGAGGAACAAAAUGAAUUCCGACGGUAAUUCAUUAUAACCGCCGUCUAAUAUCAAUUAAACGACGUUAUUUGUAAUACGGGCUCUCAUCAUAAUCAACGCCGUCUAUAUAUUCUGUAAUACGGCUCUCAUUUAUUUGGAACCGACGUUGUUUAGAAGUUCAACGUCGUCUAUAUUAAUAAGUGCGUCGUGAGUAAUGAAUACAUAUAAAUACAACGUCGACUAUAUAAAUGCCAACGACGUUGUUUUGCAUUUCAACGUCAACUAUAUAAAUACAUACGUCAUAAAUAAUGACACUGACAACUAUUUCCACGUCAUCUUUUUUAGAAAAAUCGAAGUGGAAAAUUUAUUUCACGACGGUUGUUUGUAAAUAAGAGACGUAGUAUAUUUCAAUAACGUCGUCUUCUCAUGUAUUUAAAGACGUCAUAUUUUUUCUUGUCAUGAAAAUUAUAUUUGACGGCGUAGUGUCUUAGUUGUCGUCGUUGUAUGCCUAUCUUGCGGCCUUGUUCUUUUAAUAUGUGUCAUAUUUUUCCUUUUUAACGACGGUGAUUUGUUUGAGUUGGUCGUCUAUUCUCAUCCUCGAUAAUUUUUUAGAACUUUAGCAGACUAAACACGUCUGUUUUUAUUUUUUUUUCGACGUUGUUUUAUUUAACAACGUCUAAUAUUUAUCGUCGUUGUUUGUUUCUGAAAAUAGGACGUAUAAAUUUUGUAAUACGACUCUCAUAUAUUUGUAACCGACGUUGUUUCGUUGUUCAACGUCUACUCUAUAAAUACAUACGUCGUAAAUAAUGACACUGACAACUAUUUCCACGUCAUCUUUUAUAGAAAAAUCGAAGUGGAAAAUUUAUUUUACGACGGUUCUUUUUAUAUAGGCGACGUAGUAGGUAUCAAUAAUGUCGUCUUCUAAUAUAUUUAAAGACGACAUAUUUUUUAUUGUCGUGAAAAUGAUAUUUAACGGCGUCUUAUUUUAAUUUUCGUCGUUGUAUGUCUAUCUUGCGGCCAUGUUCUGUUAAUAUGUGUCAUAUUUUUCCUUUUUAACGACGGUUUUUUUAGAGAGUUGGUCGUCUAUUCUCAUCCUCGACUGCUUUUUUAGAUCUUUUUGCAGUACAAAGACGUCGUUUUGUAUUUGUUGAUGACGUUGUAUAUUGUAACAACGACGGUGAUUUAGCGUCGUGGUUUAUGAGGGAAAAGAUGACGGUGGAUUCCACGACCAUUGAAAAACCAAAUACACGACGGUGAUUUACCGUCGUCUUUUUGCUUUUUUGUAGUAGUGCUUAUUUUUAUCUAGUUGAUAAAUCAUUAUAUAAUUAGGAGAUACUUUCCUAAUUCUUUACUGUAUCUAAUUCCUUGUAUAGUACAUGUAAACUCUUAUGUAUACCUCCUUAUGGAGAAGAAUAAAAAUAACCUAAUACAUUCAAACCAUAUUCAUAUUUAAGCAUGAUAUCAGAGCAAUCGAUCAUCGGUUGUCUCUAAAUUCUCAUAUUAAAUUUUCUUCAAACACAAACCCUAAAUCAUCAUAUCAAAUUUCUUCAAACACAAACCUUAAAUCCCCAUAUCAAAUUUCUUCAAACACAAACCUUAAAUCCCCAUAUCAAAUUUCUUCACACCCAAACCCUAAAGCAAAUUCCUCAUAUUUACAAUUUCAAAUUCAAAUCUUCAUACCCAAAUCCUCAUAUCCUCUUAUCACAAAACCCUAAACACAAAUUCUUUCUUUUUUUUUUGUUCUCUUAUUCUUAAAUCCUUCCGCUGUCAUGAAUAUCGUUUCAUCUUCCCAAACUGCUGCCUUCACUUCCUCAUCCUCAAAAAUUGUCACAACAGGUUCCCACGGUUAUGUUUUGCAUAGUUCUUUAAAGAAACACAUCUGGGUCAUUGACAUCGGAGCCACUGAUCACAUGACCUUUGAUCCUGGACAACUUACCUCUCAUACACCGUCUUCUCAAUCGGUGGUAUUUAAUACCAAUGGUACCCCUUCCCCAGUAAUUGGGGAGGGUUCACUCUCUCUCUCUCUCUGACUCUCACUUUGGAUUAUGUGUUGAUUGUUCCAUUCUUACAUCAUAAUCUUUUGUCUGUUGCCCAAAUUACUACGACUUUGAAUUGCACCUUUUGGCUUACUCAUUAUGUUUUUCAGGACAUCCUCAGCAGCAAGACGAUUGGUUGUGGUACUAAGAGGGGCAAACUCUACUAUCUGGACUUGGCCUCUGACAGUGAAGCUAGCCUCAAUCAAGCUUACAAAAUUGGGGGUACGAGUGUUGAGAAGCAAACUUCCGAAGUAUGGUUAUGGCAUCGACGUCUUGGACAUGCGUCGUUUGGAUAUUUACAGAAGCUAUUUCCUUCUUUAUUUUCCCAGUUAGAUAUCUUCAGUUUUACGUGUGACAUCUGUGAACUAGCCAAGAGCCAUCGUGUUCCUUUUCCCUUAAGUUCCCUUUUCUCUUGUUCAUUCUGAUGUUUGGGGCCCGGCUAAAAUUACCACUCUUGGGGGCGCUAGAUGGUUUGUCACGUUUAUCGAUGAUUGCACACGUAUGACCUUGGUUUCUCUUCUCCAAACAAAAGCGGAAUCAAUUCCAAAUUUCAACAAUUCUAUCAAAUGGUCGAGACACAAUUUCAUACUAGAAUUCAGGUUCUUUGGUCUGACAAUGGCGGAGAAUUUCUCAACCAUGAUCUUAAUCAGUUCUUACAAGAUCAUGGCAUCAUACAUCAACGCUCAUGCCCUUACACUCCCCAACAUAAUGGUGUGGCUGAACGAAAGAAUAGACACUUAUUGGAAGUGGUUCGUGCCUCUCUCUUUGGUGCCAAUAUGCCUCUGUCCUUUUGGGGAGAAGCCGUCCUCUCUAUAGCAUACCUUAUCAAUCGGAUUCCUUCCAGUAUCCUCAAUUUCCAAACCCCCCCCCCCCCCUUCAAACACUCUACCACUAUCUCCAAAUACCUCAUACUAAAAAUCUGGAACCCCGUAUCUUUGGCUGUGUGGUCUUCGUCCACUUACAUAAUCACCAACGCAGCUAAUUGGAUCCCCGCGCCAAAAAAUGUGUUUUCAUCGGUUAUGCACCUCAUCAGAAAGGGUACUGAUGUUAUCGUCCUCCGAGUCAGAAAGUCUAUACUUCUAUGGAUGUUGUGUUAUGGGAAUCCGACAUAUUUUUCAGCCGUCCAGGAGGAGGAUCAAAAUGCCAAAACUUCUCCAAUUUCUGAAUUUUUUCCUACAAAAACGUCCCAGACUGAAAACGACCGAUGGCCCAGCGAGAAUUCUACUCUAUGCAAAAGCGACCAGUCGCAAGUGGAAAGCGACCUGUCGCCCCUCGAAAAUUCGACUCUGUGCAAAAACGACCGGUCGCCAGAGGACAGAGAUCGAUCGUCUCCUUGCUGUCAAACUCAGGAGGAGAUCAUCAUUGAGGAGUUUUUGCCCACACAGGAGAAUUCUUCAGCUCCAGUACCACACCAAUCACCUGCUGAGGACAUCAUUCAGGUAACAUCUUCUCCUGAAACUGAUAACAUUAAUGAAAUUUCUCAUGAUGAUUUAAUUUCAGAAGGCACAGAGCCUGCAUAUCAGCUUCCAAAAUGAAUGAACCGUGGAAAACCUCCAGUUCACUACAAAGCAGAUCUUAAUGCAAAAGGGAAAUAUCUCAUCAACAAUUAUGUAUCCAUCAGCAGACUAUUAGAGUCACGAGUACACUUUGUGAAGCAGUUGGCCAACAUACCCAUUUCCAAUAGUGUAACUGAAGUACUAGAAGACUCAAAAUGGAAAGAAGCCAUGAAUGAAGAAAUGCGAGCUCUCCAAAAGAAUGGCACAUGGGAACUCAUGCCAUUACCUCAUGGAAAGAAGACAGUGGGAUGUAGGUGGAUUUAUACUGUGAAACUCAAAGCAAAUAGAUCCUUUGAAAGAUAUAAAGCUAGAUUGGUGGCGAAAGGGUACACGCAAGGAUAUGGAAUAGACUACUAAGAGACCUUUGCCCCAGUAGCCAAGAUUAAAACUAUCAGAGCCCUUCUGUCUCUAGCCGCAAAUCUCGAUUGGCUAUUACAUCAGUUUCAUGUCAAAAAUGCUUCUUACAUGGAGACUUGGAAGAAGAAGUAUAUAUGGACUUGUCACCAGGAUGUAACUUAGCUCGUGACAAGGAGGAUCAAGUUUGCAAGCUCAGAAAGUCAUUGUAUGGGUUAAAGCAAUCUCCUAGGGCAUGGUUUGACAGAUUCAAUAAAUCCAUAAAUGUAACACCCCGACUCCAAAUUUAACCCAUUAUUUAAAUUAUUUAAGUGAAAUUACAAAUUUACCCUUGAGGUAUGGAUAAUUUGGUCAUUUUCUUAUCCAAAAGGAGUUUGGGGCAAUGACUAGUAUUUUUGGGAAGGUCGUACUGAGAUGAGUCCGUAGACACACGGUGGGCUCGAAUCGGAGUUAUAAUGAGAGAGAUAUGGUCAAAAGAAACUCAGUGGCACAAUCGUAAUUAUUUCAAAAUGGGAUUUUUUAUAAAAAUCAGAUUUCUCUCUCUCUCUCUCUCUCUCCUCUCUCUAGCGCGUGCAUCGGCAGUCGGCCACAUUUUGGCUAGCCGUUCCCUCAUCCGGCCACCGAUGACGACGGGGCCGGUACCAAAAUGACCAGGGCGUCGUCCUCUUCCAACCCCAGCCAGGUCCCGCCACCAACCUCCGUGGUUUCACUGAAAAAUGGAGAAGAAGCGGCCGGUGUCGUCCGAACUUCUCCGUCGUCGAUCUCUCUCCUCCGGCCACCGAUUCCGACGAGUGAGGUAUGGUUUCUCACCUACUAUUCAUGCUCUAGCUGCCUGUUGGGUAGGAUUCGAUCGAUUCUUAGCGUAGGUAAUUCGAUUUACGAAUUGAAAUUUGGCCGAUUUUGGGAUCGCGAUUUCGGCCACUUCCGGUCAGUUUUUGGGUAGGUCCAAGAACAAAAGUGGCUCCAAAUACGGUGUUAUACCUAGGGUAGGAGUUUAGAGCCGUGAUUUUGAGAUUUUCCGGCGAUGCGUAAUCGCUUUGGACACUCAGCGUUGCCGGCGCGUGGGCGAGGGUAGUGAAGUUGCAAUUUAAUAUAUGUUAAUCUAGGUAUUUCUAAGAUCGUGUAGGAAUUCAUGGAUUGUGAAUCGGAACCCUGCAUGUUUCGAUUAAAUAAUUUAAAAUUUAUGUUUUAUAUUAACCGUCAGAUCGUGCGAUCGUGAGCGAUCUGACCGUCCAAUCUAGACUAAACUUGCAGGACGAGUGUCAUAUACCUUGUAGAACCCAUAGGAACCUUCGGAUUGGAAUUUGGAGGUCGUGGGCCCGUUUGACCAAGUGUGGGUAGUUUGACCCUUGGUUGACCUUGAGUCUUUCGAGGUAGUUUUACCUUCCUAGAAGGAUCAUAAUGACCCUGAUAACAGGUCUUGAGCGUUGUUGAGCUAUGUUGACUAAGUUGGGAUUUUUAGAGUGUUUAUUUGUAUUAUAGGAAACUUUUAGAUACUAUUUUAAAUAAUGAUUAAUCGUAUGGGGAGAUUAUGUGAUAAUAUGGUGAGGUCGCACGUGGCAUAGGUUAUCCGGCGUGUUGACAGGCCUCAUACAUGAUGUUGGUAGUACCGUCGUAUAGGGAGAUUAUGUGAUAAUAUAGUGAGGUCCCACGUAGCGUAGGUUAUCCGGCGUGUUGACAGACCCCACACAUGGUGUUGGUAGUACCGGCGUAUGGGGAGAUAAUGUGAAAUACAGAGAUAUGAAUAAAGGUAUUGCCUAUGUGUGGAAUUGGGCUUUAGGAAAGAACUACGUGUGGCUUGAUCUCUCAGUGAGGGUGCGUAGGCAGCCCAAGGUUAUUAGGUGCAGCCGCGGACAUAGAUGUGAUUGUGUUAGGAGAUUAAAACCUCGUAUAUUUGGAUUGGAAAAGUUAAAAGAUGCAUGCUGAAAUUUAGUAGUCAUAAUUCAUAUUUCAAUUUAUCGUUUGCCUUGUUUAAGGCAUGAAUUGAUUUGUUAGCAUGCUUGGUAGUUGAGAAUUAUUGGAAGGCCGAAGGCCGUUUAUGUGAAUUGCAUGAAAUUAUAUUGUGCAUGCUGCCAGUUGUGGAUAUUAAAUGUGUUUUUAUGCAUGUUGCAAUUUUGGGCAAUGUUCAAUUUACAGGGGAGACUGCCAAAAUUUCGGCAGAAAGUCUCGUACCCUUAUUCUAUUUUGGGAAAAAUGGGUAUAGUUCUAGAAGUGGGCCCAACAUCGGGGUGAUGUUGGAAAUUUCCACAGGAUUCGUCUCGGAUUUCGGGAAAUUCGGGGCGGGUCCUGUUAAUAAAGAAUUUUAGAUAUAUACAGAGUAAUGCAUAUCACACUUUGUUCUUGAAGCGUGAUGGAAGAAGACUUACUGCAUUGAUUGUUUAUGUGGAUGACAUAGUCGUAACUGGAAAUGACACAGGAGAAAAACUGAAAUUGCAGAAGUAUUUGUCUCAGGAAUUUGAGAUGAAAGAUUUAGGUGAUCUGAAGUACUUUCUAGGAAUUGAAGUAGUCAGGUCCACAAUUGGUAUAUUUCUGUCUCAAAUGAAGUAUGUAUUAGAUAUGCUCACUGAAACAGGAAUGCUUGGAUGCAAACCUGUUGAUACACCCAUUGAGAUGAAUCACAAGUUAUGUGAAGACAUAGAUCAAGAACCAACCAAUAAGGAACAGUACCAACGCCUUGUUGGAAGGUUGAUAUAUUUAGCUCACACAAGACCAGAUAUUGCAUAUGCUGUGAGUGUGGUUAGUCAGUUUAUGCAUUCACCCAGUGUUUCUCAUAGGAAUGCAGUUGAUCGAAUCUUAAGAUACUUAAAGUCAGCACUUGAGAAAGGGUUAAUGUUCUCCAAAAAUAGAGAUCUCGAAGUUGGAUAUACAGAUGCUGAUUGAGCUGGCUCCGUUACUAACAGACGCUCUACUUCAGGUUACUUCACUUUUGUGGGAGGUAACCUAGUCACUUGGCGAAGUAAGAAACAAAAUGUAGUUUCUUUAUCUAGUGCUGAAGCAGAGUAUCAAGGAAUGACUCAAGGAAUUUGUGAAUUACUAUGGAUAAGAAGACUAUUGACAGAAUUGGGGUUCAAGCCAGAAAAGCCAAUGAAGUUACAUUGUGAUAACAAGUCAGCCAUCGAUAUUGCCCAUAAUCCAGUUCAACAUGAUCAAACUAAACAUGUUGAGGUGGAUAGACAUUUUAUCAAACAAAAACUUGAGAAGAAGAUUAUCCGUCUACCAUUCGUAAAAUCAAAAGAUUAGUUGGCAGAUAUCUUAACCAAAGCUGUUUGUGGAAGAGUAUUUUAUGACUCACUUACCAAGUUGGACAUUGGUGACAUAUAUGCACCAACUUGAGGAGGAGUGUUGACGUGAGUCUCCUAAUUAAUCAAGGAGAUUUACUUCAUUGAUUAAUUAAAGGAUUUACUUUCCUAUUUUUAUAUAGUUGAUAAAUCAUUGUAUAAUUAGGAGAUACUCUCCUAAUUUUUUACUGUAUCUAAUUCCUUGUAUAGCACAUGUAAACUCUUAUAUAUACCUCCUUAUGGAGAAGAAUAAAAAUAACUUAAUACAUUCAAACCAUAUUCACAUUUAAGCAUUCACCACAUCACUUCAUGGUGGGUCUUACUCUUAAUUUACCCAGAAGCUGCUCAUCUAGUUUAGAAGAAUCAAAUUAUGGGUUGAGAAAGGAAUGGAGGAUAUGCUGACCUUGAGAGGAAAUGCGGUGGUGGGACCAGGGCUUGCCGAGGUUGGAGUCACGUGUUAGGACAUAAUCCCAUUUGGGUCUAAUACUCUUUCCAGCCCACUUACUAUCACCUUAGCAUUGCCUUAGUAUCAUCACCUAGCUAUUCCCACACAGAAUAACAACUUUGUCCUUUCCCUAUUUGCAGGAAGAUUUGUUAAAACAUUUGCUACAGUAGAUCGUAGUGAAUUUCAUUAAUAAACAUAAAAAGAGACAUAUAGUUGGGGGGGAGGGGGUGUAGGUGUGCGUAAUGAGCAUUACCCUCAAAUGUGUAUAUAUAUAUAUAUAUCUCUCUACAAAUACAAAAACUAAAAUAAAAACCAAAAGUAAAUGCAACCCAAUGCGAUACAAAACAAAACUAUUUAAAUAUAAAAUUUAGCCCUACGAGGCUUAGGAUUCUUAAAUUCCUAAAUUAUUGAUGCAUGGUCGAUAGUAUUGGCAAACCCUCUUUCAAUGUGGAGGAUCAUACAAUGAGCAAGAAAUUCAUCACAUACGGUGUUUCAAAGUUGAUUCAAUAAUUCUCAUACAUGAGAAAGCUCGUUCCGUUGUUGCUGUAUAUAGGAACCAAGGAAAACAAUGCCGAAAAUUAUUGAUUUCUAUCAAUUAGGAAAUAAGAAAAACAAAAUGCCUAGUUCUUUGCAACUGAAUACUCAAGCCAAGAGAAUUGGCCAAACCACUUUUUAUUAAAUCAACGUAAGAUUAUUCCUUCUAAGUGGCUUGGAUAAUGUUCUAACUCAGGUUGACAUGGCCCUAAAAGAAUAUAUGCUCUUCGCACAUUAUAUUGUUCUUUCACCAAAUAUUUGCAUAUUAGAUGACGUACUCUUGGAUCAUCGUUCAAAAUAGUUGAUAUUUGUAUUAAUGAUUAACCAUCAUUCUUUUUCUUAAAAAAAAGACAACAAGGUAUGCCUGGCCCACUUAAAUUAAACCUAUACAAAUCUAUCAAACAUACCAUCCCAUCCUCCUGUGUAGUUCUUCUCCUCCUCUGCAAAACAGACAUAAUUGCCAGCAAAUCCGCUCAACUUCUUUGCAGCCAACAACUUCUCUUCUUUGCAACAACAAGUAUUCUUCUCAUUCUCUCCUUUUUAAUUAUUUUAUGCAUCUUUAAUUUGAAUAGAAAAUGUUCUAGGGUUUAAUUAGGAAUGACUUAUAAUUUGGAGAUUUUGUUGAAAUUAAUUAGGCCUUUGAUUUUAGGAAUUUUGUUGAGAUGUUUGAUUUGUUGUUGGUAUUGUUGAGAUGUUUGAUUUGUGUGUUGGUAUGUUUGAUUAAAUGCAUUAAUUUGUUGUUGGUAUUGUUGAGAUGUUUGAUUUGUGUGUUGGUAUUUUUGUUGAAAUGUUUGAUUAAAAUUAUUUCUACAUAUUAUUUAUUUUAUAGGUUAUCUUUUAUUAUGUCGGAUCACAAUCAGAACCCCAAUUAGGUUAUAAUUUUUUUAACAAAAAUUUGUGGUGGGUUGUGAAUGACCAGAGGGAGAGCUAUUUGCUCCACCAUUAGAGAUAGAGUGAGAAAAUUGGAGUUCAGCAAUUGGGUGUGAGGCUUUGGUACUACAAACAACUUCUCUUCGCAUGAUUGGACAAAACCCCGCAUGUUAAAACGAUAAUUUAUUAAAAGUGAGUGACAACAAUAAUAAUUCAUCCGGCAGGUGUUUAAAAGGAAUAAAAGUCCUUUUAAUGCAAUGGUUGUACUUAGAGUGUUUGUAUCAAACACUAAGACCAAGGAGUGAUAGUUCACUCAAUCUCAAAUUCCUCAAAACUCAUGGCCUAUAAAAGAGUCAUGCCUGUGAUUAAAAAAGGGGGAAGGAGCAGAAAAGAGAAUAACUGCAGGAAGAAAAGAAAGACAACAAACAUACUAGAGAAAUCAAAAGUCAUCUCAAGGUAAAAUCUUAGUUCUAUGGCACAGUUUUCUUGUUUGCUCAGGACUCCAGGUUUUCAUCAACCCAAGCGUCCCUGGCUAUGAUGAUUUCUAUCAUCAUAAAAAUAGUCAGAGAUCUCUCUAAGACUUGGCUCCGCUCAAAUAUUUCCAGUGAUGUUUUCAAACAACCAGUCCACAAUCAACAGGAGAAAUUGUCUUCUAUGAUGAUUUCAAUCGUCAUAUAUUCUAUUCCAACAAGCAACUCUGAUCAAAUGCUUUCAAGGAUGUGUCCAACCUCCAAUUCAACAGCAAUUCGUGUGGAUUGAUUGUCAUGGUGGGCAAACCACCAAAAAAAUCAAAACUGGUGCACAACUCUCUUGAAAAGGCGUAAAGGAAAUCCUAGAGUUCUCUAGGUUCUUCUUACUGUUGCACCAUAAUAGCCAAAAUCGUUCAAUGAUGUUCGUCAUGAGAUGGACAGCCAAAAAAAUAUAUAUGAAACGAAAGAAUCAAAGGUAGGUAAUUCAUGUAAUUAUCGAGAAGAAGUUCCAAGCUUUCCCACGACAAGAAGACAAUUUGGUUUGUGUUUGAUUAAAGCUCACUACCUGGAGAUCAACGAUAUGCAAAUUAAAAAGGGAAGAAAGGUUUUGCUCUGAAAAAAGCACCAACCCAAGUUUUUGGGGGAUGUUUUGCUCUGUUGAAGAUAAAAUAACAAUUAAAGUAAAGGAAAAAAUUAUUGGAUGUCUUGAUUGAAUACCACGUGAUUUCGACAUCCUCUUUUAAAAAUCCUAAUAGUCUUAAUGGAACACCACAAGACUUGUUUAGAUUAUUUAAAAGUCUUAAUUGAAUACCAAAAUACUUUUUUAUCCCAAAAUAAUUUUUUUAAAUCUCAAUUGAAUACACCCUAAUGGACAAACUAAAAAAGAAAUAAGCAAUCAAUUAUGUCAAUGCCAAACGAUAAAAAUAGCUUACCUCGUCUGCCGUAUUUGCCUUUUCUAUUCAAUAACAAAGGUUGUAAACACUUCACAUACUUCUAGUCAAAACUGUUGGCGUGACUUGUGGAUAUUGACUUACUUUCCUUACACACUAAGAAUUCCUAUUAUAAUUGUAAUUGAUUUACUUUAAUUCCUGAUUUCCUACUGCAAAUAGAUUUAGGAAUUUAUUAUUUACUUGCCCAUUCAGGUUUCGUUGUAUUAUAAAUAUGACCUCCUACAAGGAGAAGAAUACACAGAAAAUUCCCACAAACAAAUAUUCUCUCAUAGUUUUCAUAUUUUAGCAUGGUAUCAGAGCGGCGAUCUUGGAAUUGCUGACUCUAGUUUCAAACCCAGAAGUUCUUGUCGAAUGUUUUGUCCAGUAGUGGGGAGGGUGUUAUGCGGUCUUGUUGCCUACCAAUAACACGCAGGCUUCUAGUUUUCUUAUUUUCUUAUUUUACUUUAGUAAGUCCAACAUAUGAAGAUCCAAAAAUGUCAAUUAUCUUGCUGUGCACACAAAACCAUAGAUUAUUCUUGUAAAAAAUUAGACAAAUUGAAAACCUUUUAGACAUUUAAUUGUGUCCUAUAAAAUCAAUGAAUACGGUGUUUCAAGAAAGUUUUAAAAUUUCAAUAAUUUAAUUGAGUGGUCAAAUGAUAUCGAAUUUAAGUGAUUUUUUGUAAAAUUAAUCUUCGAAUGAAUAUUUAAAAAAUAAAUUAUUUGCAUAGAUGAAAUACAAUAUGGUGGGCUCUACAAUACAGAUUAUAAUGGAUUGGUCAAUCCCUCUCUAUCAUCAGUUCACAUAUUUCCUGGAACCAACCAUUUUCUGUGUCACUAUGCAGCCAUCUAUAGCUAUCUCCGUCAUGUGAGUCUUGGGCACCACGUUAGCCUACGUUCCAGGAAAAAUCCACAUUGACAUUUGACUCUCCAUUCUUUGACUACACUCCCUGAGUCGUCCACAAACUAAUCUCUCUCUCUCUCUCCCUCCACUAUAUAACGUACAAAAUCCUGCAUUUCAAUACAAAACUCAGACCAUUCCAACAAAAACCCCAUUUACCAGAAUUUCUGAGAGCCCCAACAAAAAGCUUCACAAAUUAUGGAGCUUUUUGAUUCUUCAAAGCACGGUACUCUCUCAGCCUUCUUCUCACACUACUCAUCAUCAUUCAUUACGUAUCCAGGUACCGAUUUUCUUCUCAAACCGGUUUUCAUACGUGGGUUUUCUGGCUCAUUACACCUAGUUUUGUUAUUUGUGUUGCUCGUCUCUUGGGUGUGGAAGAAAUUCAAGGUGGGUGAUGGAGAAGGUCCAAAACAGAGGUUUGGGAGUAUUCAAAGUUGGUAUUAUAAGCUAACUUUACUCUGUUGUCUUGGUGUUUCUGGGCUCAGUCUUGUUUUUUGUUUAUUGAACUACUUCUAUUGGCAUAGAAACGAUUGGACUGAGGAAAAGCUAGUGACCCUUUUUGAUUUAGCCAUUAGAACACUUGCUUGGGGUGCUCUUUGUGUCUACUUGCAUACCCAGUUCUCUAAUUCUUCUGAAUCAAAGUUUCCAAAUUUAUUGAGAGUUUGGUGGGGUUCCUACUUUUCUAUCUCUUGCUAUUCCCUUGUGAUAGAUAUUCUUCUGUACAAGGAACACGUUUCCUUGCCCGUUCAAUCUUUUGUUUUUGAUGUUGUCUGCGUCAUCUCGGGUUUGUUCUUUAUAUUUGUGGGGUUUUUUGGGAAGAAAGAGGGCAGAAAUACCGUUCUUGAGGAACCCCUUUUGAAUGGUAAUGGUAAUGCAGUGUCAAAUAAUUCCAAAGGGGGUACACCUGUUACCCCUUAUUCAAAUGCUGGAAUUUUCAGCAUCCUUACUUUUUCUUGGAUGGGUCCUCUAAUUGCGGUUGGCAAUAAGAAGACAUUAGACCUUGAGGAUGUUCCUGAACUAUACAAGGGUGAUAUGUAGCUGGGUCCUUUCCAAUUUUUAGAAAUAAANNNNNNNNNNNNNNNNNNNNNNNNNNNNNNNNNNNNNNNNNNNNNNNNNNNNNNNNNNNNNNNNNNNNNNNNNNNNNNNNNNNNNNNNNNNNNNNNNNNNNNNNNNNNNNNNNNNNNNNNNNNNNNNNNNNNNNNNNNNNNNNNNNNNNNNNNNNNNNNNNNNNNNNNNNNNNNNNNNNNNNNNNNNNNNNNNNNNNNNNNNNNNNNNNNNNNNCAUUUAUGAUUGCGAAGCUGGUGGAGUGCCUCUGUCAAAGGCACUGGUUCUUUAAGGUACAACAGGUAGGAGUAAGAAUCCGAGCGGUACUUGUUACAGCGAUCUAUAAUAAGGGUUUGACCCUGUCAUGCCAGUCCAAGCAGGGCCACACUAGCGGAGAGAUUAUCAAUUUUAUGACUGUUGAUGCUGAGAGGGUUGGUGACUUCUCUUGGUACAUGUAUGAUCCAUUGAUGGUCAUUCUACAAGUUGGCUUGGCCCUAGUGAUUUUGUACAUAAAUCUUGGUCUUGCAGCCAUUGCAACUUUAGUUGCAACAAUAAUUGUUAUGUUGGCAAAUGUUCCAUUGGGGUCCUUGCAGGAGAAGUUUCAGGAAAAGUUAAUGGAGUCGAAAGAUAAAAGGAUGAAGGCAACAUCUGAGGUCUUGAGGAACAUGAGGAUUCUCAAGCUUCAAGCAUGGGAGAUGAAGUUUUUGUCUAAAAUUAAUGAGCUCAGGAAGACUGAGGCGGGAUGGUUACGAAAGUUUGUUUACACGUCUGCCAUGACCUCAUUUGUUUUCUGGGGUGCCCCCACAUUUGUGUCAGUGGUCACGUUCGUUGCUUGCAUGCUUUUGGGGAUCCCACUUGAGUCGGGGAAGAUCUUAUCUGCACUUGCAACAUUCAGGAUUCUUCAAGAGCCUAUCUACGGUCUUCCAGACUUAAUUUCAAUGAUAGCACAAACUAAGGUAUCCCUUGAUAGAAUUGCAUCAUUCCUUAGUCUUGAUGACUUGCCUCCUGACGUUAUAGAGAACCUUCCAAGAGGUAGUUCUGAUACAGCAAUUGAGAUAGUCGAUGGGAAUUUCUCUUGGGAUUUAUCAUCCCCUAGUCCAACAUUGAAGGAUCUAAAUUUCAAAGUGAGCCAAGGUAUGAGGGUUGCUGUUUGUGGUACUGUUGGCUCAGGCAAGUCUAGCUUACUUUCUUGUAUUCUGGGAGAAGUUCCGAAGAUAUCGGGGACUCUUAAAAUGUGUGGGACAAAGGCCUAUGUUUCUCAGUCACCGUGGAUACAGAGUGGCAAGAUAGAGGAAAACAUAUUGUUUGGUCAAGAGAUGGACAGAGAAAGAUAUGAGAGGGUGCUUGAAGCAUGUUCAUUAAAGAAGGACCUGGAAAUUCUAUCGUUUGGUGAUCAGACAAUUAUAGGGGAGAGGGGAAUCAAUUUAAGUGGUGGACAGAAGCAAAGAAUACAAAUUGCACGUGCUCUGUAUCAAGACGCUGAUAUUUAUCUGUUUGAUGAUCCUUUUAGCGCUGUUGAUGCUCAUACAGGAUCACACCUUUUUAAGGUAUUUCAUUUCCCUCUUGUAGUGUGAUUACAUCUAGUUUAAAUUGAGUAUCCAAACUUAUUUACAUCAUAGAAUUACUGGCAUCCGUAAAAUUGACAGUUCAUUAUUAAUUUGUUUGCUUGAUAAUUGCACUACAGGAAUGCUUGCUGGGUCUCUUGGGUUCAAAAACAGUAAUCUUUGUUACUCAUCAAGUGGAGUUCUUACCUGCUGCUGACCUCAUCUUGGUAAAAAAUCCAGAGCUUUUCUUAGAAUUUUAAUCUAUAAGAUAUGUUAUUAUCUAGUUAGUAUCUGUCUGCUUAAACUUAUUUGUUUGUCAUUAGGUCAUGAAAGACGGAAGGAUUACUCAAGCAGGAAAGUUCAAUGACAUUCUUAAUUCAGAAACUGAUUUUAUGGAACUUGUGGGAGCACACGCGGAAGCUUUGUCCGUGCUUAAUUCUGCAGAGGUGGAGCCAGUAGAAAAAAUAAGCGUUAGCAAAGAAGAUGGAGAAUUUGCUAGUACUAGUGGGGUUGUCCAAAACGUAGAAGACACUGAUGUUCAAAAUUCUAAAACAGAUGAUUUACCAAAAGGGCAGCUUGUUCAAGAAGAAGAGAGAGAGAAAGGUAGAGUUGGGUUGUCAGUCUACUGGAAGUACAUCACCACAGCAUACGGAGGUGCUCUUGUUCCGUUUAUCUUGCUUGCACAGGUUCUCUUUCAGGUCCUUCAAAUUGGAAGCAAUUACUGGAUGGCUUGGGCAACUCCUGUUUCAGAGGAUGUGAAACCUGCUGUUGAAACCUCUACACUUCUAACUGUUUAUGUUGCUUUGGCCGUUGGAAGUUCUUUUUGUAUCCUCUUCAGAUCCAUGUUUCUUGCAACAGCUGGGUACAGGACAGCGACUCUACUUUUUAGUAAAAUGCAUUCAUGCGUUUUCCGUGCUCCCAUGUCUUUCUUUGAUGCCACUCCAAGUGGACGAAUCCUAAACAGAGUAAGCAAAAUAUAUUUCUAAUAUAGAAUUAGAUGCUUUAAACAGACCACUCCCUCUGCUGCUGUACUGAAUGCAGUAAUCUCAUCAAUGUAGCAAAUUGAUUUCUUGCAGGCUUCUACAGACCAAAAUGUAGUGGGCUUCUACAGACCAAAAUGUAGUGGACUUGAACAUGCCGGGUCAAAUUGGGGCCCUUGCCAACUCAUUGAUCCAGCUUCUGGGAAUUAUUGCAGUGAUCUCGCAAGUUGCUUGGCAGGUUUUCAUCAUUUUUAUCCCUGUGAUUGCAAUCUGUAUCUGGUUACAGGUAACGCUUCUUUGUCCUACUGCUUCUAUCUUAUAUGUUGUAUCAAUACAUGAAUUUCCACAUGAAAUCUAACAUGGAAAUGUUAAUGUCCCUUUAGUGUUAAUUCUUUGUUGAUCAUGCACUGUUGAUGCUCGUUAUUCAUUCCUAUACAUGCUCUACCUUCUAUUUGAUGUGGAACUGAGGAACUUGGCUUCCUUAUUGACACAAAAGUUCACUAAGUUGAUACAUUAACAUUUUCUUCCACCUUUUUCCGCUACAGUUCUUAGAAACUUCUAAAUUGGCACAACAUGGAACAUGAUUGACAAUAUGAAUCCAUAUAACAAACCUAACUCCUAUUACAGCCAGCAAUCUAUAUGAACUAUGUUAAAUGUGAAGAAAGAUGCUCAAAAUUUUUAUAUUCAUGCAGCAAUACUACAUACCUUCAGCACGAGAACUGGCACGGUUGGUUGGGGUAUGCAAAGCUCCAGUGAUACAACACUUUGCUGAAACAAUUUCAGGUUCGACAACUAUUAGGAGCUUCAAUCAAGAAUCAAGAUUUAGGGAUACAAACAUGAAACUGAUGGAUGGUUAUGGUCGGCCUAAGUUUCAUACUGCGGCUGCAAUGGAGUGGCUAUGUUUUCGCUUGGAUAUGUUGUCAUCUAUAACUUUUGGAUUCUGUUUGGUUUUCUUGAUCUCUAUUCCAGCAGGGGUGAUUGAUCCAGGCAAGUGGCAUUCAUUUAGUGUGUUACUAAUUAUUCUUUUGAAAGCAAAUGGUAAAGCAAAUCUAUGAGUUCUCUCUUUUCUUAUUUGUUUUUGGUAUUUUACUCUGAAGGUGUUGCGGGCUUAACUGUCACAUAUGGACUUAAUCUAAACACGUUACUGGCGUGGUUUAUAUGGAAUCUUUGCAAUGUAGAGAACAGAAUUAUAUCAGUGGAGAGAUUACUACAGUACACUACCCUUCCCAGUGAGCCUCCUCUUGUAAUAGAAUCCAAUCAGCCAGAUCGUUCUUGGCCAUUACGUGGAAAAGUUGACAUACAUGAUCUUCAGGUACUUGCUGUUCUGGUUUAUUUAUUUCAUAACAUAUGGGGUCAUUCAUGUGUGACUCGAAUUUCAUGUUCAUAUAGGUCCGUUAUGCCCCACACAUGCCGCUUGUGUUGCGAGGUAUCACAUGUACCUUUCCUGGAGGAAUGAAAACUGGGAUUGUGGGUAGAACUGGCAGUGGCAAAUCGACUCUCAUACAGACCCUUUUCCGAUUGUGGAUCCUGCUUCUGGGCCAGAUUUUGAUAGAAUGGGUAUGAUAUAUCUCAUGGACUGCAUGAUCUAAGNNNNNNNNNNNNNNNNNNNNNNNNNNNNNNNNNNNNNNNNNNNNNNNNNNNNNNNNNNNNNNNNNNNNNNNNNNNNNNNNNNNNNNNNNNNNNNNNNNNNAUCUGGACCCACUUGAAGAGUACACAGAUGAGCAAAUUUGGGAGGUUGGUUGGUUUUACACUGAUGAAAGGAAGCUUCUUCCUACUAAAUGUUCUUCAUUAAUAGAUUUGCAGUGGUAAAUUCGUGGGACUAGUUAAAACAUCUUUUGAUUUUUUCAGGCCCUGGAUAAGUGUCAACUUGGAGAUGAAGUUAGGAGAAAGGACGGAAAGCUGGAUGCCACAGGUUUGUUCUAUGGCUACUCUAAGAUACAGGCUAUAUAUGAUGCACUAGAUUCCAUUUUACGUCAUGGAAAUUCUUUUGUUUAUGUUUCAUAUGGUUGCUGCAGUUAGUGAGAAUGGAGAGAACUGGAGUAUGGGUCAGAGGCAGUUGGUCUGCCUUGGCCGUGUGCUGCUCAAGAAAAGUAAGGUCUUGGUGCUUGACGAAGCUACCGCGUCGGUCGAUACAGCUACAGAUAAUCUCAUCCAGCAGACCCUUCGCCAACACUUUACUGACUGUACAGUCAUCACUAUUGCACAUCGUAUAACUUCUGUUCUUGAUAGUGACAUGGUUCUGCUUCUGAGUCAUGGUUAGUAUUGCCAUAUGAAUGCAUUCAACUUCCUCUAGCUACCACUGAACCUCACCUUUUUAUUCAUUUUUAAUUGUAUCUUUGUUCUUGUUGUAGGUCUUAUUGACGAAUAUGAUUCUCCUGCAACCUUGCUCGAGAACAAGUCGUCAUCUUUUGCUCAGCUUGUGGCAGAGUACACAAUGAGGUCGAAUUCCAGUUUUGAGUAGUUCGACUGACAAUUGAAAUUCCAAAUCUUCAUUAUGAACUACUCAACUUGGUAGCUGUUUUCAUAAUGACGAAACAUAAGCGGUGAGGUCCAAAGCAAUAGAACUGGGUGAUCAAGUUAAAGUUUGCAGUGUAUUUUAGGCUAUAUUCUGCUGCAAAUAUUGUAUGGUUAAGUACUUUCAAGUAAUUUUGAUACUGAGAGCUCAAUAUAGGUGUGAAAUUUUGUGGUCGAAUAAAGUAAUUGUAAGUUGAUUGAACUCCUAUGCAAAACAUCCUCUCAUUGAAUAGAUAAAUGGCUCUGUAAUUGGAAAAUUUUGUAAGUAAAUUCAUCGGUCCCUCUACUUGUCCAAGACAAUGCGUCGUAGACUAUAUUAGAAGUAGAUAUUCCAGAACCGUAUCCCAAAAGACUUUGGUUAGACAAACCCACUAGUUAGCUACACUAAAGAAGGGGAUGACACUGUAGGAAACCCACCAAAGAUUUUAGUUUGAAUAAUUUUCCUACUGAAUGAUGAUUCUCCCUUUGAAAAUCACAAUUCCUCCACUAGAUGAGGAGAAGUUCACAAUUCUUUGGGUUAACGGGUGGACCAUGUCAUGAAUCCAUCCACACAAAAAUAAGGAGAAUCCUUAAUUUCACCCAAAUUCUCGGAAUUCCUUUAUUUUGAUGUGCAAAUGAGUGACGUGGUCCACUCGAUGAAACAAAAAAUUUCACACAAAAGAUACCUCGACUAGAGGUUCGAUAUUAGUUUAUCACCUAUUGAAAAGGUAACAACUUGCACCCGAAAUCGCACUUUGUUAUAAGUAAGUAUGCAAAAAUAAUUAACCACCUCCAAAAGCACUUUGGUAAAGGUAAGUUAUAUUUGGUAAGUUAUAUAUAUAUCUGUAUUAUAGGGUACUACAACAGUUUAUUAUCUACCCUCCUAUAUUCACCUUCCCUCUAGUAUACAACAUAUAUACUUGGCAAAGUGUAUACCUGCCCCAUAGGUUAAUAUAUAAUGGUUGAUUGCCUACUCAAAAGUCCUUCCCUGUCUUUUUCUUGCUCAUUUUCUCGCCAUUAAUAAUGCGCCAUAUUGCAUGCAAUUAUGCAAAGAGCAACAACAUCUAUUUAUACUUGCAAGAAAUAGUAACAUAGCUCUCACACCAUCACCCAUCUUGCUCAUCCUGACCCCGCAACCAAAAACAUAAUAUCAAUUAAAAGACAGAUAAGAAAGCACUAGGAAGAAACAGAAAUCGAUUCAUCACAUAUAUGGUGCUUCGAAGUCGAUUCAAUAAUUCUCAUACAUGAGAAAGCUCGUUCCAUUGUUGCUGUACAUAGAAACCAAGGAAAACAAGGUCGAAAAUUAUUGAUUUCUAUCAAUUAGGAAAUAAGAAAAACAAAAUGCCUAGUUCUUUGCAACCGAAUACUCAAGCCAAGAGAAUUGGCCAAACCACUUUUUAUUANNNNNNNNNNNNNNNNNNNNNNNNNNNNNNNNNNNNNNNNNNNNNNNNNNNNNNNNNNNNNNNNNNNNNNNNNNNNNNNNNNNNNNNNNNNNNNNNNNNNGCACAUUAUAUGGAUAAUGUUCUAACUCAGGUUGACAUGGCCCUAAAAGAAUAUAUGUUAUUCGCACAUUAUAUUGUUCCUUUACCUAAUAUUUGCAUAUUAGAUGACGUACUCCUGGAUCACCGUUCAAGAUAGUUGAUAUUUGUAUUAGAUGAUGUCCCAUCAUUCUUUUUCUUAAAAAAAAAGACAACAAGCUCUGAAUUUUCUUGGGUUUUCGAUUGUGAUUCGACAUAAUAAAAGAUAACCUAUAAAAUAAAUACUAUAUAGAAAUGAUUUUAAUCAAACAUCUCAACAAUACCAACAACAAAUUAAACACCUCAACAAAAUUCCUAAAAUCAAAGUCCUAAUUCAUUUCAACAAAAUCUCAAAAUAAUAAGUCAUUCCUAAUUAAACCCUAGAACAUUUUCUAUUCAAAUUAAAGAUGCAUAAGAUAAUUAAAAAGGAGAGAAUGAGAAGAAUACUUGCUGUUGCAAAGAAGAGAAGUUGUUGGCUACAAAGAAGUUGAGCGGAGUUGUUGGCAGUGGUUGCAGAGAAGUUGCUUAUAUCUGUUUUGCAAAGGAGGAGAAGAAUUGCACAGGAGGAUGGGAUUGGUGGAUAGGUUUGUGACAGGACCCGAUCCAAAUUCCACUUUGGAAUCCGAGCCAGACCCUGUGCGUGUCCGACACCUGGCGAAUGUCGGGCACAAAUGAUCUAUUUGCCCUUCUAUACAAACAUGCUAAAAAUAAUAAGGUUGACUUCUACCGAAAAACCGGCAGAGUUUCCCUUGUAUCUGGCUCAAUACCAAAAUCUUACACCUGUCAAAACAAGUAUAUAUGUACAACCAACUGCCAGCAUACAUAUAUAUAUUCCAACAGUUCAAAUCUCAGUCUAGGGCAAAACAUCAGAGCGACUACUAAAAAUUUACAAAAGAGUGAAUCUUUGUACAAAAUACAAAUCCUACAUCAAAGAAAGGCGCGGAAGAUGGGAAGUGGCCCGGUGGUGGAUUCCUGUGCACGUCUACUGCCUGGGGGCGCAAAACAACAAGAAGGGUGAGUGGACCCAAAACAAAGCGUAGAAAAUAAUAUAUGAACAUACUAACCCCACUGUAAACUAACUUAUUUUCUUUAUUUCUGAAAUCCAUGCAUGUAUAUAACUAUACAUUUGAAAACAGUUGAAAACUAUCACCUAGGUGUACCCCUAUUUCCGUCAAAUCCUUAUAUCCGUCAAUUCCUUGCAUCACCAUGGGUGACACAUACUCGCAGGUCUCAGUGACACGAAGUCAGUCCGAGCCGCAACUCGCAGGAUUCAGGGGACCGUAGUCCACCUUUAUCCGCAUUACUCGCUCCACACGAGUUCGAGUACCAAGGAACUCGUGAGGCAACUGUCAAGCAUGCUGACUAAACCGAAGGUAACAAAUAUAAACCGAAGGCAACAUUUAAUAACUGGGUACAAGGUGAUUUAAGAAAAUAUAAAGUUUCUAAAGAAAAUCUUAUGAAUAAUUAACUUUCUGUAACCUUUAAAAUUCUGCUGCCAUUUAUCUGAUAAUUAACGAGAAUAUCUUUUCCUAUAUUCUUAAAAGGAAACUUCACUCAGCAGCAUGUAACAUAAAAUAUUUAACAGCAUAAAACAGCUUAUAACUGAAAUUGAACUGCUUAACUGAAACUGAACUGAUUAAAUUCAUUUAUAAAAACAAAGAGUCCACUCACUGAUAGUCUGAGCUCGCUGGACCUCUUGAAGGUCCCUCCUGCGGGUCAACUGGUGCCCGGGUGCCUGAUUCAAUGACCAUAAUAUUCUAUUAAUACAAUAUAGUAUUAAAUUAAAACAAAAACCCUACCCCCGGCUCCUAAAAGUACGUGCGUCAAUUUAAAGUGAUCCCUAUGCCCACAACAGCUUUCCUUCCACGUGGGAUAGUUUAGCGAUAUCUUGGGACUCAAAAAGCGCUAAAGUCCAAAAAGUCUAUCCGGAACCCCACGGGUAUAAUAUGAUCCGGAUGCCGCUAAAAGGUCCAAUAUAUUUAGGACACAUGUCCCGAGGGUAUUGGUGUCAAUCGGACGGUCGGAUUGAUCACGAUCGUGUAAUCACAUAAUUUCUAAACCCUAGCCCUAGGGUUCGCGAUUUCGGAGUAUCCGGGACUCCGAUUCGCCAUCCGUCGAAUCCUACACAAUCCUGAAAUCAUGUAGACCGACAUAUCCAAAAUUCAGUGUGAUCCACCGAUUUGGCGACACUGCACCCAAAGAUCGCGCGAUAUGAAAAAUCCGUUCGGGGCUCAAACGAACUCCGAAUCGAGAUCCGCGAAAUCCUACGUGCUCGUGACGACACGAGGGUCACAAAACUGUACAACAUGACUUCACCACCCUCGCCCAUGCGCCCCAGCACGCGCGGGCAGAUUCGGGUGUCUUAAGCGAUUUCGGGUGGCCAAAAAAUCUCGGAACCAGGACUCCAAACUCUUAUCCUAGGUAAAACACCCCAUUUGGAGUCACUUUUGUUCUUGGACCUACCCCAAAAAGUGACUGGAAGUGGCCGAAAACAGAGGCCGAAAAUCGGCUGAAACUUCAAUUUAUAAACUGGGCAAUCUACGGCUAAAAUUGAUAAAAACCUAUCCAACCAUCAGCUAGAGCACGAAAAAUAGAUGAGAAUCCAUACCUUACUCGAAAGAUUUGGUUGAGAAUUGAGGGAGAACGAGCGGUUGGAAGUUGUGACAAAACCGACUCGUUUUUGGACGGAAUCCGGCGACUACAGCGGCGGCUGGCAGCAGGGAGCGGUCGGGGCUUGAAGACGGAACCGAGCUGGUUCUAUUGGCGCCGACGGCAAGGGCAUAGGUGGUCGGUGGCGGAAGUUAUGGUGCUUGGAAGGUGACGGCUGAGGAAGGCAACGGGAGAGAGAGAGAGAGAGAAGCUGAGGUUUAUAAAAAAAAAUCUGAUUUUUCUAAUUACCAUUUUGCCCCUCGUGAUAUUUUAAUCGUAUUUUCUUCGUUACAACUCCGAUUCGAGCUUACUUCGUGUCUAUGAACUCAUGUCGUCGUGCUCUACGCAACGGUGUAUGUGGAAUUGUCAAAUUCCUUUUCGGUCAAAAAGUCAACAUUGAGUUCAUAAGUGAGUCAAAGGGCAAAAUUGUCUUUCCGCAUAAUAAAUUACUAAUUACAUGUGAAUUUUAGGUUUGGGUCUUUACAUUUGUAUAGGUUUAAUUUAAGUAGGCUAGACAUAUGUAGUGUAGGUUAUAUUUUUUUUAACAGAAAUUUGUGGUGGGUUGUGAAGGAGCAGAGGGAGAGCUAUUUGCUCCACCGUUAUAGAUAGAGUGAGAAAAUUGGAGUGCAGUAAUUGGGUGUGAGGCUUGGUACUACAAACAACUUCUCUUCGCAUGAUUGCACAAAACCCCGCAUACGAGAGACUCAAAGAGAGAAGCCUUUUGUGCAUGGAAGUUCAUAUUUUCCAGCGAAAAAAAAAAAAAUUUCCAUGUGAAAAAUCUCAUAGGUUAGGGUGAGAUUUGAGAUAGGGUUUGGUAUUUAUACCUCCGACUAAAAAGUCCCACACAAUUCCACAUUUUAAAAAAUCUUUCGAAAUUAGCAAGUUUUUCAAUACCAUAAGACUUUUUGUUACUUGUUUAAAGUCUUGAUUGAAUACCAUGUGAUUUCGAUACCCUCUUUUAAAAAUCCUAAUAGUCUUAAUGGAAUACCACAAGACUUAUUUAGAUUAUUUAAAAGUCUUAAUUGAAUACCAAAUGACUUUUUUAUCCCAAAAUACUCUUUUAAAAUCUCAAUUGAAUACACUCCCUAAUGGACAAACUAAAAAAGAAACAAGCAAUCAGUUAUAUCAAUGCCAAAUGAUAUAAAUAGCUUCCCCCGUCUGUUGUAUUUGCCUUUUCUAUUCAAUGCCAAACGUUGUAAAUAGCUAAAUCAUUAUUACCCGAUUUAUGUCAUAAGGGCAUCAUUGGAACAAAAAUAAUUUUAAAAAUAAAAAAAUGAAAAGAUUACAUCCAAAUAUAUUUAAAAAUGAAUAUAAUCCUAUGUAGUACAAAAGUCAAAGGACUUAAAUCAAAGUCAUCAAAUUUGAAGAUUAAACCUAACUCCUCAAUAAAAAUUUGUAUCUAUAUCAACUUUUUAUGUUCUAAUUUUCAUAUUAUAAUUAAAAGGAAUUAUUUUUGGCUCUUAAAAAAAUCAUAAUGUAUUUUUCCCUUAUAUAAUUACAAAUGAUGAGUGCAAGAUGACAUUUUUUAUUGUCACUAACGUUGAAGAAUAUGAGUCCCACAUCGGAAAUUUAACUAAAUAAAAUACAAAAUAUAAUAAAUAGUUUUACUACUAAUAACACCGAGACCUUUUGUGAUAAAACCCCACACCUACUGAGCUUUGUAGGUGGUUAAGUUGGGGACACUAUCAGUGUUGCUAGUAGUGGGCCGCUGGCCCGUGUCUUUGAAAUUUAACAUGGUGUAUGAGUGGGUGGAUUGAUUGGGCCUGAAUUACUGGGCUUUUACCCUUACCAUUUACCCAACAUGUGGUGUUCACAUGUUGGACUUGAAUGUUUACCCUUAUCCAAUAUGUGGUGCUCACGUGUUGGGCUUGAAUGUUUGACUCCGAUGUGGACUUGGCUCCACAUGUGACCUACUGUUUCGCGUGCCCCAAAUUGGGUUUCUUCUCGGUAAGAUAUCGCAUUGGGCUGAGAAUUUAUUUGGGCCGAAGCGUGGAUUUUUUGGGCCUCAACACUAAUAACACUGAGGCCUUUUGUGAUAAAACCUCACACUUACUGAACUCUGUAGGUGGUUAAGUUAGGAACAUUAUCGGUGUUGCUAGUAAUGAGCCACUGGCCCGUCUCUCUGAAAUUUAAAAACUAACAGCUCCCGUUGACAAAAUCUUAUUUAUCAAUUUUCUUAUUUGAUCAAUAUCUCAUUUAGCUUACCUUAACAUUUUUGUUAAUUUUGAUCACAUGCCACCUACCCCUUUAAUUACAGUCCCGAGUGCCGACCAUGGCUAUCCAUUCCUGCCAUGCCCAAACCUUAAUUCCCCAAGUCACUUUGGCAUCGCAUAUAAAAUGAUUGUUUUGUGAUUACAUUUCUGCCAUGCCCAAACAAUUUUACAUAAUAAUUUUCCUAAAAAGGAUAUAUAUAGAAUAAUAUUAAUUUUGUUUAAACAUGUGUUGGGAUCAAGGUCUAAAAUAUCAAUGAUAUCGGAAAUAUAGGUAGUCCAAAAAUAUGAAAAUUUCGAUGGAAAUAUCGGGAUAUUAUUGAUAUCGAUAAAAAUUGAAUAAAAACCACGGAAAUUGUAAGAAAAACUUGGAAAUUUUUAUUGAAACUUUGGAGAAUGUUUAUUUAGUCAAUUAUCUAUGAGUUUAUUACAAAAGAUUAGAAGGAAAUGCAUUGCGUGAUGGAUUUAAGUAAUUUAAGUUGUUAAUUAAUGAAAAAAUAUUAAACACACCAUAAUCAUUUAUAUAUAAUGAUUUGCUACAAUAUUUUAUACUUUAUACAUUGCAUGGUAAGAUACAUGAGUGACUUAGUACCACAUAGAGUUCCUAUGAGGUUCAAAUUUUUCACUAUCUUCAUCAUCUCUAUGUGUAGAGUAAGUGUAUUGUGAAGAGUAGUCAUCAAAUGAUAAAUCCCAAAAAUAGUUUUGCAUGUAAUUAUUAACAUACCACCCAUAUAAAUAUAAAUAUUUUAGCAUAUUAUCACAAAAGCAUAAGUGAUAUGGUGUUUAAGGUGUUGGAGGAGUAAAAUGGGAGAGGUUCAUAUCCCCUUUGUGCUUUUUUCUACCCCUUUUUCCUUUUUUUUUUUUUACUUUUCUUUUCUCCCUUCACAUCGAUAUUAUUGUCGAUAUUUAUACGAUAUGUACAUGGAUAUGUUCCGAAAUAUCUGUGAUUCGAAAAAACCAAAAUAUCCUCGAUAUUUCGUCAAAAUUAUCGAUAUUUCAGACUAUGGUUGGGAUAAUGAAUUGGUGGUCUAUCUCUCUCUACCGUAGAUAUAAUGGAUUGGAAUUUGGAAUUUGGAAUCUCGGAGUGUACCACUUCACAUACUAGUCAAAACAUGUGUUGGGAUAUAAAAGAUAACAGUGAACUCUUUGAAUUUCGAAGUUCUUGUUGAAUGUUUUGUCCAAUAGGGGGAGGGUGUUAUGUUGACUUGUUGCCUACCAAUAAUACACAGGCUUCUAGUUUUCUUAUUUUCUUAUUUUACUUUAGUAAGUCCAACGUAUGAUUUAACACAAGAAGAUUCAAAAUUGUCAAUUAUCUUGCUGUGCACAGAAAACCAUAUUCACUGUUGACCCUGAGUCUCUUAAUUAAUUAAGAAGAUUUACUUCCUUGAUUAAUUAAGGGAUUUACUUUCUUAUUUUUAUAUAGUUGAUAAAUCAUUAUAUAAUUAGGAGAUGCUUUCCUAAUUCUUUACUGUAUCUAAUUCCUUAUAUAGCACAUGUAAACUCUUAUGUACACCUCCUUAUAGAGAAGAAUAAAAAUUACCUAAUACAUUCAAACCAUAUUCAUAUUUAAGCAUGAUAUCAGAGCAAUCGAUCCUCGGUUGUCUCUAAAUUCUCAUAUUAAAUUUUCUUCAAACACAAACCCUAAAUCCUCAUAUCAAAUUUCUUCAAACACAAACCUUAAAUCCCCAUAUCAAAUUUCUUCACACCCAAACCCUAAAUCAAAUUCCUCAUAUUUACAAUUUCAAAUUCAGAUCUUCAUACCCAAAUCUUCAUAUCCUCUUAUCACAAAACCCUAAACACAAAUUCUUUUUUUUUUUUUGUUCUCUUCUUCUUAAAUCCUUCCGCUGCCAUGAAUAUCGUUUCAUCUUCCCAAACUGCUGCCUUCACUUCCUCAUCCUCAAAAAUUGCCACAACAGGUUCCCGCGGUUAUGUUUUGCAUAGUUCUUCAAAGAAACACAUCUGGGUCAUUGACACCGAAGCCACUGAUCACAUGACCUUUGAUCCUGGACAACUUACCUCUCAUACACCGUCUUCUCAAUCGGUGGUGUCUAAUGCCAAUGGUAUCCCUUCCCUAGUAAUUGGGGAGUGUUCACUCUCUCUCUUUCUGACUCUCACUUUGGAUUCUGUGUUGAUUGUUCCAUCCUUACAUCAUAAUCUUUUGUCUGUUGCCCAAAUUACUACGGCUUUGAAUUGCACUGUAACCUUUUGGCCUACUCAUUGUGUUUUUCAGGACAUCCUCAGCAACAAGACUAUUGGUUGUAGUACUAAGAGGGGCAAACUCUACUAUCUAGACCUCGCCUCUGACAGUGAAGCUAGCCUCAGUCAAGCUUACAAAAUUGGGGGUACGAGUGUUGAGAAGUAAACUUCUGAAGUAUGGUUAUGGCAUCGACGUCUUGGACACGCGUCGUUUGGAUAUUUACAUAAGCUAUUUCCUUCCUUAUUUUCCCAGUUAGAUAUCUCCAGUUUUACUUGUGACAUCUGUGAACUAGCCAAGAGCUAUCGUGUUCCUUUUUCCUUAAGUUCCAUUUUCUCUUGUUCAAUCUGAUGUUUGGGGCCCGGCUAAAAUUACCACUCCUGAGGGUGCUAGAUGGUUUGUCACAUUUAUUGAUGAUUGCACACAUAUGACCUGGGUUUCUCUUCUCCAAACAAAUGGGGAAGUCAAUUCCAAAUUUCAACAUUCUAUCAAAUGGUAGAGACAUAAUUUCAUACCAGAAUUCAGGUUCUUUGGUCUGACAAUGGCGAAGAAUUUUUCAAUCAUGAUCUUAAUCAGUUCUUACAAGAUCAUGGCAUCAUACAUCAACGCGCAUGCCCUUACACUCCCCAACAUAAUGGUGUGGCUGAACGAAAGAAUAGACAUUUAUUGGAAGUGGUUCGUGCCUCUCUCUUUGGUGCCAAUAUGCCUCAGUCCUUUUGGGGAGAAGCCAUCCUCUCUGUAGCAUACCUUAUCAAUCGGAUUCCCUCCAGUAUCCUCAAUUUCCAAACCCCCUUCAAACACUCUACCACUAUCUCCAAAUACCUCAUACUAAAAACCUGGAACCCUGAAUCUUUGGCUGUGUGGUCUUCGUCCACUUACAUAAUUACCAACGCAGCUAAUUGGAUCCCCGCGCCAAAAAAUGUGUUUUCAUCGGCUGUGCACCUCAUCAGAAAGGGUAUUGAUGUUAUCAUCCUCCGAGUCAGAAAGUCUAUACUUCUAUGGAUGUUGUGUUCUGGGAAUCCGACAUAUUUUUCAGUCGUCCAGGAAGAGGAUCAAAAUGCCAAGACUUCAAUUUCUGAAUUUUUUCCUGCAGAAACGUCCCAGAUUGAAAACGACCGGUCGCCCAGCAAGAAUUGUACUCUGUGCAAAAGCGACCAGUCGCAAGUGGAAUUAACCGGUUGCCCCCCGAAAAUUAGACUCUGUGCAAAAACGACCGGUCGCCAGAAGACAGAGAUCGAUCGUCUCCCUGCUGUCAAACUCAGGAGGAGAUCAUCAUUGAGGAGGUUUUGCCCACACAGGAGAAUUCUUUAGCUCCAAUACCACACCAAUCACCUGCUGAGGACGUCAUUCAGGUAACAUCUUCUCCUGAAACUAAUAACAUUAAUGAAAUAUCCCAUGAUGAUUUAAUUUUAGAAGGCAUAGAGCCUGCAUAUUAGCUUCCAAAAUGAAAGAACCGUGGAAAACCUCCAGUUCACUACAAAGCAGAUCUUAAUGCAAAAAGGAAAUAUCUCAUCAACAAUUAUGUAUCUAUCAGCAGACUAUUAGAGUCACGGGUACACUUUGUGAAGCAGUUGGCCUACAUACCUAUUUCCAACAGUGUAACUGAAAUACUAGAAGACUCAAAAUGGAAAGAAGCCAUGAAUGAAGAAAUGCGAGCUCUCCAGAAGAAUGGCAUAUGGGAACUCAUGCCAUUACCUCAUGGAAAGAAGACAGUGGGAUGUAGGUGGAUUUAUACUGUGAAACUCAAAGCAGAUAGAUCUAUUGAAAGAUAUAAAGCUAGAUUGGUGGCGAAACGGUACACGCAAAGAUAUGGAAUAGAUUACCAAGAGACCUUUACCCCAGUAGCCAAGAUUAAAACUAUCAGAGCCCCUCUGUCUCUAGCCGCAAAUCUCGAUUGGCCAUUACAUCAGUUUGAUGUCAAAAAUGCUUCUUACAUGGAGACUUGGAAGAAGAAGUAUAUAUGGACUUGCCACUAGGAUGUAACUUAGCUCGUGACAAGGAGGAUCAAGUUUGCAAGCUCAGAAAGUCAUUGUAUGGGUUAAAGCAAUCCCCUAGGAUAUGGUUUGGCAGAUUCACUAAAUCCAUAAAUGUAACACCCCGACUCCAAAUUUAAUCCCUUAUUUAAAUUAUUUAAGUGAAAUUAUAAAUUUACCCUUGAUGUAGGGGUAAUUUGGUCAUUUUCUUACCCGAAAGGAGUUUGGGGCAGUGACUAGUAUUUUUGGGAAGGUCGUACUGAGAUGAGUCCGUAGACACGCGGUGGGCUCGAAUCGGAGUUGUAACGAGAGAGAUAUGGUUAAAAGAAACUCAGUGGCACAAUCAUAAUUAUUUCAAAAUGAGAUUUUUUUUUAUAAAAAUCAUAUAUAUAUAUAUAUAUAUAUCUCUCUCUCUCUCUCUCUCUCUCGCGUGCAUCGGCAGCCGGCCACAUUUUGGCCGGCCGUUCCCUCAUCCGGCCACCGAUGACGACGGGGCCGGUACCAAAAUAACCGAGGCGUCGUCCUCUUCCAACCCCAACCAAGUCCAGCCGCUAGCCGCCGUGGUUUCGCCGAAAAAUGGAGAAGAAGCGGCCGGUGUCGUCCGAACUUCUCCGCCGUCGAUCUCCCUCCUCCGGGCACCGAUUCCGACGAGUGAGGUAUGGUUUCUCACCUACUUUUCAUGCUCUAGCUGCCUGUUGGGUAAGAUUCGAUCGAUUCUUAGCAUAGGUAAUUCGAUUUACGAAUUGAAAUUUGGCCGGUUUUAGGAUCACGAUUCCGGCCACUUCCGGUCAGUUUUUGGGGUAGGUCCAAGAACAAAAGGGUGUUAUACAUAAAGUAGGAGUUUGAAGCCGUGAUUUUGUGAUUUUUCGGCGAUGCGUAAUCGCUUUGGGCACCCAGCACUGCCGGCGCGUGGGCGAGGGUAGUGAAGUUGCAAUUUGUCUCGAUGUGAUCCUUAGGUUGUCACGAGUGCGUAGGAUUUUGCGGAUCUCAAUUCAGAUACCGUUUGAGUCUCGAACGGAUAUCACCUAUUGCGCGUUAUCCGGGUUCGAUAGGUUGGGAACGUUGAAUGGUCUCAAAUUUAAUAUAUGUUAAUCUAGGUAUUUCUAGGAUCGUGUAGGAAUUCACGGAUUGUGAAUCAGGACCCCGGAUGUUCCGAUUAAAUAAUUUAAAGUUUAUGUUUUAUAUUAACCUUCAGAUCGUGCGAUCAUGAGCGAUCUGACUGUCCAAUCUAGACUAAACUUGCAGGACGAGUGUCCUAUACCUUGUAGAACCCAUAGGAACCUUCGGAUCGGAAUUUGGAGGUCGUGGGCCCGUAGGCCCGUUUGACCAAGUGUGGGUAGUUUGACUCUUGGUUGACCUUGAGUCUUUCGCGGUAGUUUUACCUUCCUAAAAGGAUCAUAAUGACCCUAAUGACAGGUCUUGAGCGUUGUUGAGCUGUGUUGACUAAGUUGGGAUUUUUAGAGUGUUUAUUUGUAUUAUAGGAAACUUUUAAAUAUUAUUUUAAAUAAUGAUUAAUCGUAUGGGGAUAUUAUGUGAUAAUAUGGUGAGGUCGCACGUGGCGUAGGUAAUCCGGCGUGUUGACAGGCCCCGUACAUGGCGUAUGGGGAGAUUAUGCCAUAAUAUGGUGAGGUCGCACGUGGUGUAGGUUAUCCAGCGGACAGACCCCAUACGUGGUGUUGGUAGUACCGACGUAUGGGGAGAUAAUGUGAAAUACUGAGAUAUGAAUAAAGUUAUUGCUUAUGUGUGGAAUUGGGCUUUAGGAAAGAACUACGUAUGGCUUGAUCACUCAUGAGGGUACGUAGGCAGCCUAAGGUUAUUAGGUGCAGUCGCGGACAUAGAUGUGAUUAUGUUAGGAGGUUAAAACCUCGUAUAUUUGGAUUGGAAAAGUUAAAAGAUGCAUGUUGAAAUUUAGUAGUCAUAAUUCAUAUUUGAAUUUAUCGUUUGCCUUGUUUAAGGCAUGAAUUGAUUUGUUAGCAUGCUUGGUAGUUGAGAAUUAUUGGAAGGUCGAAGGCCGAAAGUCGAAGGCCGUUUAUGUGAAUUGCAUGAAAUUAUGUUGUGCAUGCUGCCAGUUGUGGAUAUUAAAUGUGUUUUUAUGCAUGUUGAAAUUUUGGGCAAUGUUCAAUUUACAGGGGAGACUCUGCCGAAAUUUCAGCAGAAAGUCUCGUACCCUUAUUCCAUUUUGGAAAAAAGGGGUAUAGUUCUAGAAGUGGGUCCUGUCAAUAAAGAAUUUUCGGGAUUCGUCUCGGGUUUCGGGAAAUUCGGGGCGGGUCCUGUCAAUAAAGAAUUUUGGAUAUAUACAGAGUAAUGCAGAUCACACUUUGUUCUUGAAGCGUGAUGGAAGAAGACUUACUGUAUUGAUUGUUUAUGUGGAUGACAUAGUCGUAACUGGAAACGACACAGGAGAGCAACUGAAAUUGCAGAAGUAUUUGUCUCAGGAAUUUGAGAUGAAAGAUUUAGGUGAUCUGAAGUACUUUCUAGGAAUUGAAGUAGUCAGGUCCACAAUUGGUAUAUUUCUGUCUCAAAUAAAGUAUGUAUUAGAUCUGCUCACUGAAACAAGAAUGCUUGGAUGCAAACCUGUUGAUACACCCAUCGAGAUGAAUCACAAGUUAUGUGAAGACAUAGAUCAAGAACCAACCAAUAAGGAACAGUACCAACACCUUGUUGGAAGUUUGAUAUAUUUAGCUCACACAAGACCAGAUAUUGCAUAUACUGUGAGUGUGGUUAGUCAGUUUAUGCAUUCGCCCAAUGUUUCUCAUAGGAAUGCAGUUGAUCGGAUCUUAAGAUACUUAAAGUCAGCACUUGGGAAAGGGUUAAUGUUCUUCAAAAAUAGAGAUCUCGAAGUUGUUGGAUAUACAGAUGCUGAUUGAGCUGGCUCCAUUACUAAUCGACGCUCUACUUCAGGUUACUUCACUUUUGUGGGAGGUAACCUAGUCACUUGGUGGAGUAAGAAACAAAAUGUAGUUUCUUGAUCUAGUGCUGAAGCAGAGUAUCUUGGAAUGACUCAAGGAAUUUGUGAAUUACUAUGGAUAAGAAGACUAUUGAUAGAAUUGGGGUUCAAGCCAGAAAAGCCAAUGAAGUUACAUUGUGAUAACAAGUCAGCCAUCGAUAUUGCCCAUAAUCCAGUUCAACAUGAUCGAACUAAACAUGUUGAGGUGGAUAGACAUUUUAUCAAACAAAAACUUGAGAAGAAGAUUAUCCGCCUACCAUUCGUAAAAUCAGAAGAUCAAUUGGCAGAUAUCUUAACCAAAGCUGUUUGUGGAAGAGUAUUUUAUGAUUCACUUACCAAGUUGGGCAUUGGUGACAUAUAUGCACCAACUUGAGGAGGAGUGUUGACGUGAGUCUCCUAAUUAAUCAAGGAGAUUUACUUCCUUGAUUAAUUAAUGGAUUUACUUUCCUAUUUUUAUAUAGUUGAUAAAUCAUUGUAUAAUUAGAAGAUACUUUCCUAAAUUUUUACUGUAUCUAAUUCCUUGUAUAGCACAUGUAAACUCUUAUAUAUACCUCCUUAUGGAGAAGAAUAAAAAUAACCUAAUACAUUCAAACCAUAUUCACAUUUAAGCAUUCACCACAUCACUUCAUGGUGUCUUGCUCUUAAUAAUUUACCCAGAAGCUGCUCAUCUAUUUUAGAAGAAUCAAAUUAUGGGUCGAGAAAGGAAUGGAGGAUAUGCUGACCUUGAGAGGAAGUGCGGUGGUGGGACCAGGGCUUGCCAAGGUUGGAGUCACGUGUUAGGACAUAAUCCCAUUUGGGUCUCAUACUCUUUCCAACCCACUUACUAUCACCUUAGCAUUGCCUUAGUAUCAUCACCUAGCUAUUCCCACACAGAAUAACAACUUUGUCCUUUCCCUAUUUACAAGAAGUUUUGUUAAAGCAUUUGCUAGAGUAGAUCGUAGUGAAUUUCAUUAAUAAACAUAAAAAGAGACAUAUAGUUGGGAGGGGUGGAGGGGUGUAGGUGUGCGUAAUGAGCAUAUAUAUAUCUACAAAUACAAAAACUAAAAUAAAAACCAAAAGUAAAUGCAACGCAAUGCAAUACAAAACAAAACUAUUUAAAUAUAAAAUUUAGCCCUACGAGGCUUAGGAUUCUUAAAUUCCUAAAUUAUUGAUGCAUGGUCAAUAGUAUUGGCAAACCCUCUUUCAAUGUGGAGGAUCAUACAAUGAGCAAGAAAUUCAUCACAUACAGUGUUUCAAAGUCGAUUCAAUAAUUCUCAUACAUGCGAAAGCUCGUACCGUUGUUGCUGUAUAUAGGAACCAAGGAAAACAAGGCCGAAAAUUAUUCAUUCUAUCAAUUAGGAAAUAAGAAAAACAAAAUGCCUAGUUCUUUGCAACUGAGUACUCAAGUCAAGAGAAUUGGCCAAACCACUUUUUAUUAAAUCAACGUAAGAUUAUUUCUUCUAAGUGGCUUGGAUAAUGUUCUAACUCAGAUUGACAUGCCCCUAAAAGAAUAUAUGUUCUUCGCACAUUAUAUUGUUCUUUCACCAAAUAUUUGCACAUUAGAUGACAUACUCCUAGAUCAUCGUUCAAAAUAGUUGAUAUUUGUAUUAAUGAUUAACCAUCAUUCUUUUUCUUAAAAAAAGACAACAAGGUCUUAAUUUUCUUGGGGUUCCGAUUGUGAUCCGACAUAAUAAAAAAUAACCUAUAAAAUAAAUAAUAUGUAGAAAUGAUUUUAAUCAAACAUUUCAACAAAAAUACCAACACACAAAUCAAACAUCUCAACAAUACCAACAACAAAUUAAUGCAUUUAAUCAAACAUACCAACACACAAAUCAAACAUCUCAACAAUACCAACAACAAAUCAAACAUCUCAACAAAAUUCCUAAAAUCAAAGCCCUAAUUAAUUUCAACAAAAUCUCCAAAUUAUAAGUCAUUCCUAAUUAAACCCUAGAACAUUUUCUAUUCAAAUUAAAUAUGCAUAAGAUAAUUAAAAAGGAGAGAAUGAGAAGAAUACUUGUUGUUGCAAAGAAGAGAAGUUGUUGGCUGCAAAGAAGUUGAGCGGAGUUGCUGGCAAUUAUGUCUGUUUUGCAGAGGAGGAGAAGAACUACACAGGAGGAUGGGAUGGUAUGUUUGAUAGAUUUGUAUAGGUUUAAUUUAAGUGGGCUAGACAUAUGCAGUGUAGGUUAUAAUUUUUUUAACAAAAAUUUGUGGUGGGUUGUGAAUGAGCAGAGGGAGAGCUAUUUGCUCCACCAUUAGAGAUAGAGUGAGAAAAUUGGAGUUCAGCAAUUGGGUGUGAGGCUUUGGUACUACAAACAACUUCUCUUCGCAUGAUUGGACAAAACCCCGCAUGCUGAAACGAUAAUUUUUAUGAAUUAAAUAGGGAUGGCUGUCUACAUGGAAAUUUAUUAAAAGUGAGUGACAACAAUAAUAAUUCAUCCAGCAGGUGUUUAAAAGGAAUAAAAGUCCUUUUGAUGCAAUGGUUGUACUUAGAGUGUUUGUAUCAAACACUAAGACCAAGGAGUGAUAGUUCACUCAAUCUCAAACUCCUCAAAACUCAUGGCCUGUAAAAGAGUCAUGCCUGUGAUUAAAAAAGGGGGAAGGAGCAGAAAAGAGAACAGCUGCAGGAAGAAAAGAAAGACAACAAGCAUACUAGAGAAAUCAAAAGCCAUAUCAAGGUAAAAUCUUAGUUCUAUGGCACAGUUUUCUUGUUUGCUUAGGACUCCAGGUUUCGAUCAACCCAAGCGUCCCUGGCUAUGAUGAUUUCUAUCAUCAUAAAAAUACUUAGGGAUCUCUUUAAGACUUGGCUCCGCUCAAAUAUUCCAGUGAUGUUUUCAAACAACCAGUCCACAAUCAACAGGAGAUACUGUCUUGUAUGAUGAUUUCAAUCAUCAUAUAUUCUAUUCCAACAGGCAACAGCAAUUCGUGUGGAUUGAUUGUCAUGGUGGGCAAACCACCAAAAAAAUCAAAAUUGGUGCACAACUCUCUUGAAAAGGCGUAGAGGAAAUCCUAGAGUUCUCUAGGUUCUUCUUAUUACUGUUGCACCAUAAUAGCCAAAAUCGUUCAAUGAUGUUCAUCAUGAGACGGACAGCCGAAAAAAAAUAUAUGAAACGAAAGAAUCAAGGGCAGGUAAUUCAUGUAAUUAUCGAGAAGAAGUUCCAAGCUUUCCCACAACAAGAAGACAAUUUGGUUUGUGUUUGAUUAAAGCUCACUGCCUGGAGAUCAACGAUAUGCAAAUUAAAAAGGGAAGAAAGGUUUUGCUCUGAAAAAAGCACCAACCCAAGUUUAUGGGGAUGUUUUGCUCUGUUGAAGAUAAAAUAACAAUUAAAGUAAAGGAAAAAAUUAUUGGAUGUCUUGAUUGAAUAUCACGUGAUUUCGACACCCUCUUUUAAAAAUUCUAAUAGUCUUAAUGAAACACCACAGGACUUGUUUAGAUUAUUUAAAAGUCUUAAUUGAAUACCAAAAUACUUUUUUAUCCCAAAAUAGUCUUUCGAAAUCUCAAUUGAAUACACCCCCUAAUGGACAAACUAAAAAAGAAAUAAGCAAUCAAUUAUGUCAAUGCCAAACGAUACAAAUAGCUUACCCCGUCUGCCGUAUUUGCCUUUUCUAUUCAAUACCAAAUGUUGUAAAUGGCUAAUUAUUAUGACAUAAAUCACUAUUACCCGAUUUAAGUCAUAAGGGCAUCUUUGGAACAAAAAUAAUUUUAAAAAUAAAAAUAUAAAAAGAUUACAUUAGAAUGUAUUUAAAAAGGAAUGUAAUCUUAUGUGGCAGAAAAGUCAAAGGACUUAGAUCAAAGUCAUCAAAUCUAAGAAUUAACCACAACUCCUCAAUGAAAAUUUGUAUCUAUAUCAACUUUUUCUGUUCUAAUUUUCAAAUUAUAAUUAAAAGUAACUGUUUUUGGCUCUUAAAAGAACCAUCAUGUAUUUUUCCCUUAUAUAAUUACAAACGAUGAGUGCAAGAUGACAUUUUUUAUUGCCACUAACAGCUUCCAUUGACAAAAUCUUAGUUAUCAAUUUUCUUAGUUGAUCAAUAUCUCAGUCAUCAUUUAAGAAAUGAAAAAUAACAAACUUACCUUAACAUUUUAAUACAUGUAGAACAUAAGGAUAAUAAGAAUUAAGCCCUUCUAAUUUUUUGUUAAUUUUGAUCACAUGCCACCCACCCCCUUUAAUCAGUCCCGAGUGCCGACCAUGGCUUAAAUCUUAACUCCCCAAGUCACUUUGGCAUCGCAUAUAAAAAUUGCCAUGCCCAAACAAUUUUACAUAAUAAUUUUCCUCAAAAGGAAAUAUAUACAUAAUAAUACUAAUAAUGGAUUGGAAUUUGGAAUUUGGAAUCUUGGAGUGUAUCACUUCACAUACUUCUAGUCAAAACAUGUGUUGGGAUUUUAGAGCAUUUCCACCAGUUGCCUCUUGCCAUGGCAAGAUGAGCCCUAGGGCAGCCACUAUUCACGUGAAUAGUGGCUGCCCUAGCCCCCUCCAGCAAAAUGUGUUUCCAGCAGUUGGGGCUUGCCAUGGCAAAUACUAUUCAUUUUUUUAUUUUUUUUCACAACUUUAUUUACUUAAACAAUUAAUUUGGAUAAUAUUUUCGGAUAAGAUUUUUGGGUUCCUACGUGUCAAUAAUAUUCAUAUCGGAUUGUGGGUUGUUUAUUUUUUAUGCUUUGGUUGUGGUUUGUUUAUUUUUUUUAUGCUUUGGUUGUGGUUUGUUUUUUAUGUAUGGAAUGUUUUGAAUAAAAAGGAUUUUUGUUGAAUAUUUUCUUUAUUGACUAAAAGAAAAGCAAUACAACUAAUAAUAAAAUAAAAUACAUGAAUUAAACAAAAAAAACAUACAAUGAAAUCAAAGGCAAGUAAACUAAGACAUGAAAGGCAAACAAACUAUUUUAAUGGUUUUCAUCAUUUAACCAAUCCGUGUUGCUAGGUCCAUCGUCAUGAAAAAGUCUUCGUCUCAUAACAUCCCUUCGUUCUAGCUUCCAAAAUUGUUUUGUUUCAGGGGACAUAUGGCUUGUAUCCAUGGCCAUGGUUUCCCGAUUUUUUUUUUCAAUGUUUUGUUCGCGUACAUACUCCCUUUCUUUUGCAUAUUCUACUUGAAUAGCCAUAUCGUGCUCUUGUUGUUUCAAGUCCAUUUCAAUUCUCAUGGCUUGGUGCUUUGAAAGUUCCUCCAAAAAUUGAGAUGCAUUCUUGCUAGAAUUACCCCCUCUCUUCGCCUUCGCCGCCUUCCUCCCAAUAGGCCUUGGCUCAUUUUCAAUGGGUGUGUCUAGAUUCAUCGGGGAAUCCAUAGGUGAAUCCGAUGCCGGCGUCUCAUGAAGUGGAGUCUCGUUCAAGACUACCGUCGGACCGGUUGGACUAAUUUGGAAUCUCUUACAAGUCUUCACCACCUCCCAACAAUGGGUAUGGUUGAAACUUUUUUUCCCUUGCCCAGUAGCACCAAACCACAUUUGAGCUUGCAUAAUCUAUAAAAAAAAAUUAAAUGGAAAUGCAAGAAACUUUAAAAAAUAUUGGCAAUGCAACAUGUAAAAAAAAACUAAUGCAAAUUCAAUAAAUUUAAAAAAAAUGCAACAUGUAUAAAAAAAAACUAGAGACAUAUUAACAAAAUAUAUAAAUUGCAAGAAACAUUUAAAUAAAAAUUAAUAUGACAUAGAAAUUAAUAGAAGGAAAAUGACAAAUAAUUUACCUCACUGCUAAGGUUUUCUCCGCUUCGAUGCUUGUCCAUCGCUUUUGCUAAGGCAUUUCUCCAUUUCGCCAACUCUUUAUUAAGAACUUUCCACCCACUGGAUAAUGUCAUUUAUGUACGUGUAGAACCAAUUGCCCAUUCACAAAAUUCUUGAUGAAUUUUUUUCCACAUAUGAGAAAAUUUCAUCUCAUUGCCCGUUACGGGACAAUGACUAACUUGGACCCAAGCCUCACACAAGCUAACAUCUUCCAUCAUGCUCCAUGCCCCUCCAUUUUCAUUAGAACCCAUAAGAUGAUAGAAAAAAAAAUACAACUUCAAAGUGAAAAAAUAUUGAAUAGAAAGUGAAUAAAUUUUGAGGAGAAAGUGAACAAUAGUAGAAGGAGAAGAAAAUAUAUGAGGAUUUGGUGUUAAAAGUGAAGAGUAUUGGUUGGUAUUUAUACACAAAAAAUUCAGUAUUUUUUUAAAAAAAUUCAAAUUUUUUUCAAUUUUUUAUUGCAGAAAAAUUGGCUGCCGUUGGAUUGGAGAAAAAAUUCGAAUCGGAGCGACCAAAGGCUGCCACUUGUCAAGUAGCCGUUGGCGGCUACUGUAGCGGUGAAUUCGAAAUUUUUUUUAACGUUGGCGCGUGCAAUGCACGCGCCAACGGUAAAAAAAAAUUUGAAUUCGGGAGGGCUGACGCCACGAUGGCGUCAGCAAUGACGUCAUCGCCCUCGGGCCCGAGCUCGGGCCGAAAUCGCCUUCGGGCCUGCCCUGUCUGGUGGACCCCACGCUAGCCCGGGCUGUGAGGAGGGUGUUAUGUGGACUUGUUGCCUACCAAUAACACGCAGGCUUCUAGUUUUCUUAUUUUCUUAUCUUACUUUAGUAAGUCCAACAUAUGAAGAGCCAAAAAUGUCAAUUCUCUUGCUGUGCACACAAAACCAUAGAUCAUCUUUGUAAAAAAUUAGACAAAUCGAAAACCUUUUAGACAUUUAAUUGUGUCCUAUAAAAUCAAUGAACACGGUGUUUCAAGAAAAUAUUAAAAUUUCAAUAAUUUAAUUGAGUGGUCAAAUAAUAUUGAAUUUAAGAUAUUUUUUACAAACUUAAUCUUCGAAUGAAUAUCUAAAAAAUAAAUGAUUUGCAUUGAUGAAAUACAAUAUGGUGGGCUCUACAAGACAGAUUAUAAUGGAUUGGUCAAUCCCUCUCUACCAUCAGUUCACAUAUUUCCUGUGUCUACUUGCAUACCCAGUUCUGUGUCACUAUGCAGCCAUCUAUAGCUAUCUCCGUCAUGUGAGUCUUGGGCACCACGUUAGCCUACGUUCCAAGAAAAAUCCACAUUGACAUUUGACUCUCCAUUCUCUGACUACACUCCCUGAGUCGUCCACAAACUAAUCUCUCUCUCUCUCUCUCUCCCUCCUCUAUAUAACAUACAAAAUCCUGCGUUUCAAUACAAAACUCAGACCAUUCCAACAAAUAGCCCAUUUACCAGAAUUUCUGAGAGCCCCAACAAAAAGCUUCACAAAUUAUGGAGCUUUUUGAUUCUUCAAAGCACGGUACUCUCUCAGCCUUCUUCUCACACUACUCAUCAUCAUUCAUUACGUAUCCAGGUACCGAUUUUCUUCUCAAACCGGUUUUCAUACGUGGGUUUUCUGGCUCAUUACACCUAGUUUUGUUAUUUGUGUUGCUCGUCUCUUGGGUGUGGAAGAAAUUCAAGGUGGGUGAUGGAGAAGGUCCAAAACAGAGGUUUGGGAGUAUUCAAAGUUGGUAUUAUAAGCUAACUUUACUCUGUUGUCUUGGUGUUUCUGGGCUCAGUCUUGUUUUUUGUUUAUUGAACUACUUCUAUUGGCAUAGAAACGAUUGGACUGAGGAAAAGCUAGUGACCCUUUUUGAUUUAGCCAUUAGAACACUUGCUUGGGGUGCUCUUUGUGUCUACUUGCAUACCCAGUUCUCUAAUUCUUCUGAAUCAAAGUUUCCAAAUUUAUUGAGAGUUUGGUGGGGUUCCUACUUUUCUAUCUCUUGCUAUUCCCUUGUGAUAGAUAUUCUUCUGUACAAGGAACACGUUUCCUUGCCCGUUCAAUCUUUUGUUUUUGAUGUUGUCUGCGUCAUCUCGGGUUUGUUCUUUAUAUUUGUGGGGUUUUUUGGGAAGAAAGAGGGCAGAAAUACCGUUCUUGAGGAACCCCUUUUGAAUGGUAAUGGUAAUGCAGAGUCAAAUAAUUCCAAAGGGGGUACACCUGUUACCCCUUAUUCAAAUGCUGGAUUUUUCAGCAUCCUUACUUUUUCUUGGAUUGGUCCUCUAAUUGCGCUUGGCAAUAAGAAGACAUUAGACCUUGAGGAUGUUCCUGAACUAUACAAGGGUGAUAGUGUAGCUGGGUCCUUUCCAAAUUUUAGAAAUAAACUGGAGGCGGAGUGUGGUGCGGAUGGCAGAGUUACCACAUUUCAUCUGGCGAAGGCAUUGAUAUUCUCAGCCUGGAAAGAGGUUGGCUUGACAGGGUUAUAUGCUAUAUUUUACACAUUGGCAUCUUAUGUCGGUCCAUAUCUAAUUGACACGUUUGUUCAAUACCUCUAUGGGCGGAGAAAAUUCAAAAAUGAAGGCUAUGCUUUGGUUUCUGCAUUUAUGAUUGCGAAGCUGGUGGAGUGCCUCUGUCAAAGGCACUGGUUCUUUAAGGUACAACAGGUAGGAGUAAGAAUCCGAGCGGUACUUGUUACAGCGAUCUAUAAUAAGGGUUUGACCCUGUCAUGCCAGUCCAAGCAGGGCCACACUAGCGGUGAGAUUAUCAAUUUUAUGACUGUUGAUGCUGAGAGGGUUGGUGACUUCUCUUGGUACAUGUAUGAUCCAUUGAUGGUCAUUCUACAAGUUGGCUUGGCCCUAGUGAUUUUGUACAUAAAUCUUGGUCUUGCAGCCAUUGCAACUUUAGUUGCAACAAUAAUUGUUAUGUUGGCAAAUGUUCCAUUGGGGUCCUUGCAGGAGAAGUUUCAGGAAAAGUUAAUGGAGUCGAAAGAUAAAAGGAUGAAGGCAACAUCUGAGGUCUUGAGGAACAUGAGGAUUCUCAAGCUUCAAGCAUGGGAGAUGAAGUUUUUGUCUAAAAUUAAUGAGCUCAGGAAGACUGAGGCGGGAUGGUUACGAAAGUUUGUUUACACGUCUGCCAUGACCUCAUUUGUUUUCUGGGGUGCCCCCACAUUUGUGUCAGUGGUCACGUUCGUUGCUUGCAUGCUUUUGGGGAUCCCACUUGAGUCGGGGAAGAUCUUAUCUGCACUUGCAACAUUCAGGAUUCUUCAAGAGCCUAUCUACGGUCUUCCAGACUUAAUUUCAAUGAUAGCACAAACUAAGGUAUCCCUUGAUAGAAUUGCAUCAUUCCUUAGUCUUGAUGACUUGCCUCCUGACGUUAUAGAGAACCUUCCAAGAGGUAGUUCUGAUACAGCAAUUGAGAUAGUCGAUGGGAAUUUCUCUUGGGAUUUAUCAUCCCCUAGUCCAACAUUGAAGGAUCUAAAUUUCAAAGUGAGCCAAGGUAUGAGGGUUGCUGUUUGUGGUACUGUUGGCUCAGGCAAGUCUAGCUUACUUUCUUGUAUUCUGGGAGAAGUUCCGAAGAUAUCGGGGACUCUUAAAAUGUGUGGGACAAAGGCCUAUGUUUCUCAGUCACCGUGGAUACAGAGUGGCAAGAUAGAGGAAAACAUAUUGUUUGGUCAAGAGAUGGACAGAGAAAGAUAUGAGAGGGUGCUUGAAGCAUGUUCAUUAAAGAAGGACCUGGAAAUUCUAUCGUUUGGUGAUCAGACAAUUAUAGGGGAGAGGGGAAUCAAUUUAAGUGGUGGACAGAAGCAAAGAAUACAAAUUGCACGUGCUCUGUAUCAAGACGCUGAUAUUUAUCUGUUUGAUGAUCCUUUUAGCGCUGUUGAUGCUCAUACAGGAUCACACCUUUUUAAGGUAUUUCAUUUCCCUCUUGCAUCUAGUUUAAAUUGAGUAUCCAAAAUUAUUUAAACUUAUUUACAUCAUAGAAUUACUGGCAUCCGUAAAAUUGACAGUUCAUUAUUAAUUUGUUUGCUUGAUAAUUGCACUCUUGGGUUCAAAAACAGUAAUCUUUGUUACUCAUCAAGUGGAGUUCUUACCUGCUGCUGACCUCAUCUUGGUAAAAAAUCCAGAGCUUUUCUUAGAAUUUUAAUCUAUAAGAUAUGUUAUUAUCUAGUUAGUAUCUGUCUGCUUCAACUUAUUUGUUUGUCAUUAGGUCAUGAAAGACGGAAGGAUUACUCAAGCAGGAAAGUUCAAUGACAUUCUUAAUUCAGGAACUGAUUUUAUGGAACUUGUGGGAGCACACGCGGAAGCUUUGUCCGUGCUUAAUUCUGCAGAGGUGGAGCCAGUCGAAAAAAUAAGCGUUAGCAAAGAAGAUGGAGAAUUUGCUAGUACUAGUGGGGUUGUCCAAAACGUAGAAGACACUGAUGUUCAAAAUUCGAAAACAGGUGAUUUACCAAAAGGGCAGCUUGUUCAAGAAGAAGAGAGAGAGAAAGGUAGAGUUGGGUUGUCAGUCUACUGGAAGUACAUCACCACAGCAUACGGAGGUGCUCUUGUUCCGUUUAUCUUGCUUGCACAGGUUCUCUUUCAGGUCCUUCAAAUUGGAAGCAAUUACUGGAUGGCUUGGGCAACUCCUGUUUCAGAGGAUGUGAAACCUGCUGUUGAAACCUCUACACUUCUAACUGUUUAUGUUGCUUUGGCCGUUGGAAGUUCUUUUUGUAUCCUCUUCAGAUCCAUGUUUCUUGCAACAGCUGGGUACAGGACAGCCACUCUACUCUUUAGUAAAAUGCAUUCAUGCGUUUUCCGUGCUCCCAUGUCUUUCUUUGAUGCCACUCCAAGUGGACGAAUCCUAAACAGAGUAAGCAAAAUAUAUUUCUAAUAUAGUGCCUUAUUGGGAUAUUCAAAGAGAAUUAGAUGCUUUAAACAGCUACCACUCCCUCUGCUGCUGUACUGAAUGCAGUAAUCUCAUCAAUGUGGCUAAUUGAUUUCUUGCAGGCUUCUACAGACCAAAAUGUAGUGGACUUGAACAUGCCGGGUCAAAUUGGGGCCCUUGCCAACUCAUUGAUCCAGCUUCUGGGAAUUAUUGCAGUGAUCUCGCAAGUUGCUUGGCAGGUUUUCAUCAUUUUUAUCCCUGUGAUUGCAAUCUGUAUCUGGUUACAGGUAACGCUUCUUUGUCCUACUGCUUCUAUCUUAUAUGUUGUAUCAAUACAUGAAUUUCCACAUGAAAUCUAACAUGGAAAUGUUAAUGUCCCUUUAGUGUUAAUUCUUUGUUGAUCAUGCACUGUUGAUGCUCGUUAUUCAUUCCUAUACAUGCUCUACCUUCUAUUUGAUGUGGAACUGAGGAACUUGGCUUCCUUAUUGACACAAAAGUUCACUAAGUUGAUACAUUAACAUUUUCUUCCACCUUUUUCCGCUACAGUUCUUAGAAACUUCUAAAUUGGCACAACAUGGAACAAGAUUGACAAUAUGAAUCCAUAUAACAAACCUAACUCCUAUUACAGCCAGCAAUCUAUAUGAACUAUGUUAAAUGUGAAGAAAGAUGCUCAAAAUUUUUAUAUUCAUGCAGCAAUACUACAUACCUUCAGCACGAGAACUGGCACGGUUGGUUGGGGUAUGCAAAGCUCCAGUGAUACAACACUUUGCUGAAACAAUUUCAGGUUCGACAACUAUUAGGAGCUUCAAUCAAGAAUCAAGAUUUAGGGAUACAAACAUGAAACUGAUGGAUGGUUAUGGUCGGCCUAAUUUUCAUACUGUGGCUGCAAGGGAGUGGCUAUGUUUUCGCUUGGAUAUGUUGUCAUCUAUAACUUUUGGAUUCUGUUUGGUUUUCUUGAUCUCUAUUCCAGCAGGGGUGAUUGAUCCAGGCAAGUGGCAUUCAUUUAGUGUGUUACUAAUUAUUCUUUUGAAAGCAAAUGGUAAAGCAAAUCUAUGAGUUCUCUCUUUUCUUAUUUGUUUUUGGUAUUUUACUCUGAAGGUGUUGCGGGCUUAACUGUCACAUAUGGACUUAAUCUAAACACGUUACUGGCGUGGUUUAUAUGGAAUCUUUGCAAUGUAGAGAACAGAAUUAUAUCAGUGGAGAGAUUACUACAGUACACUACCCUUCCCAGUGAGCCUCCUCUUGUAAUAGAAUCCAAUCAGCCAGAUCGUUCUUGGCCAUUACGUGGAAAAGUUGACAUACAUGAUCUUCAGGUACUUGCUGUUCUGGUUUAUUUAUUUCAUAACAUAUGGGGUCAUUCAUGUGUGACUCGAAUUUCAUGUUCAUAUAGGUCCGUUAUGCCCCACACAUGCCGCUUGUGUUGCGAGGUAUCACAUGUACCUUUCCUGGAGGAAUGAAAACUGGGAUUGUGGGUAGAACUGGCAGUGGCAAAUCGACUCUCAUACAGACCCUUUUCCGAAUUGUGGAUCCUGCUUCUGGCCAGAUUUUGAUAGAUGGUAUUGAUAUAUCUUCAAUUGGACUGCAUGAUCUAAGGUCUAGGCUGAGCAUUAUCCCUCAGGACCCAACCAUGUUUGAAGGGACUGUAAGAAGCAAUCUGGACCCACUUGAAGAGUACACAGAUGAGCAA